UCUUCUUCUCUCCUUCUUUGAUCUGCAGACAUGCCAAUAGAUAAAGUGGGGCUUGCUACCUCAGAAUCCCUGGUAUGCCAAGCUCUACUUUGUUUCGUCAUACGAUCUAGCAUGUUGCUUGCUUGACCAAAGGUGAGGUCCAUAAAAGAACCUCCAGCUGCGUUGUCCACCACUGGUUUAGUUACUGAAUUCAAGGCUCUAUAUAAGAUCUCCAUGAGGUGAACAUUAGUCAUGUGAUGGUUUGGGCAUCUCGCUAGCUUUGUCUUGAACCUCUCCCAUGUUUCGUGAAGAGCUUCAGAGGGAAGCUGACGAAAGUUGCUGAUUUCAUCUCUCAAUUGAGCCCUCUUGGAUGGCGGAAAGAAUCUUUCUAGGAAAGCGUCUCUCAAUUGCCUCCAAUUUGUAAUAGAAUCAGGAGUCAGCCCAUUCAACCAUAAUGUUGCCUCCCCAGACAGAGACAAUGGAAAUAGACGUAAUCGAAUAGCAUUCUGACCAACUCCAGGAUUGUCAAAAGACUUGCAUGUAGAAAUAAAGUUGAUGAGAUGCAUAUUCGGAUCAUCGCCUGCUAGUCCACCAAAUAAUCCCUUGAGUUGCAAUAACUGAAUCAUGGUGCUAGUGAUGUUGAACUUGGCUCCGGGCGCUAAUGGUGGUGGAAUUAUAGCUCCAGUGGCUCCGGCACCAUCAAGAUCAUCAUCAUCAUCGUCGAAAGCUGGUUGCAAAGGUUGGCGAUCAUAUCUGUACCGAGCUUGUCGACCUCGUCUGUUGGUAGGUGUUGCCAUUUCAGCGCCAUGCCUUGGGUUGAUCAACUCGUCAUCUCCUAAAUCUUCAUCGUCAGGAUUUGUUGCUCGUCCAGGAUUAUCAAUGUUUUGUUGUUGGACUUGAGCAGCGGCAAGAGCAGCUAAUCUUGCUUGCUCAUGUUGAGCAGCCAUCCUGUCGAUUUCCGCUUGUGCUUCCAUUCUUCUGAUUCGUUGUGGUUCCGGAUUGAUUGGUAAUAACGGUUGACCAGAACUUCUAGUAUGGGGCAUGCACUAAAAGAAAAACCUGCAAUAAACAAAAACAAAAACUAAACGUAAAAGUACGAGAAUCUUUGACCAAAGGGUCUAGUAAUUUUCACGAACUUGAUUGACACUCGUAUUCCCCGGCAACGGCGCCAAUUUUUGAUAACGCUCAAUCUACAGCUCUCGUGGGAGUGUAAAGCGGUCGUUAGCAAAUAUAGAACCCAACCUGGGUUGGGUAUCGAUCCCACAGAGAAUAGCUUGGCCAACAAGCAAGAGAAAUUACUAGACUUUUAGUGCAAGUCUCGUAGGAAAGGGGGGAUUGUAGUAUGUAACCAAAACAAGAAUGUAAGAACUGAAAAUAGCAAAAUAAAGAGAGAUUGUCACGUGUGUUGUAAACAAUGAGAAUUGAGGCGUUGGGGUUAUGUCCACCUUCUGAGGUAUACGUCUCUAUUGGCUAUGAGUGUGUAGAGUCUUGACAUGUAAUUGCUUAUAGAGAAUUGUAGUCGAUGGUAAAUCCAAGCGUCUCUCGACCUAAACAAGGACUAUUUCACUUUAACUCUCUCGAGCUUAAAGCGUGACUAACGGUACGAAUUCUCCAAGAAGUUAGUCCAGGUACGGCACUAGCUUUUUAAUAGGAAAGGGUGUCCUACUACCUUGACAUUAUCUCUUUUCCAGACAAAUAACUUUUCUCUCGAACAAGUCAGAUGUUAGACUGGCGUUGGUCUAUGCGUCUUCUUUUCUAGACAAAUAACCUUUCUCUCGAACAGGUUAGAUGUUAGAAUGGCGUGUUCUUGUGUUUGAACCGCAAAGAAUGUAGAUUUAAGAUGAAGAGAAUAAUGAUAUAAGCAAUAUACUUGUCUUGAACUCACAAACUCAUAGCUAUAGAUAGUAACUCAUUCGGCUUCCAUAACCCCAACUAAGAGAUUUAGUUACCCAUGAAUGCGAAGGAUAUCACGUUUUGCAUGGUGGAUGGCGUGAAUAGUAGGUGUUUGGCGUGUGGUUUUAGUGAUUCCGUAGCAAGUAACGAUUCUCUUGUUGUGGAAUUUAAGAGUAGAAGAAUGAAGAAUUGAGAAUGGGUUGUAGGAAGAUGUCUUAAUUGUAAGGAGAUGAAUGAAUUGUCAGAAUGUCUCCCCUCCUCUUAAAAUCUCUAACAUGAUAGGGUAUUUAUAAUACUCCUAUCCUACUCCUACUAAACUAAUAAAAUAAAUAACCAAAUCCUAAUAUACUAAUGAAAUCCUUGACCCAAUUGUACUAGGGUAAGGUUACAAAAUUAUAAUCCAAAUAGAAUGAUGAAACACAUAACCUAAUUGCACUAGGUUAAUGUAUUAUGGCAAAAAUCCAGCUUUGUGUCUGUAAGUCCCAAAGUCUUCAGAAAUGCUGUUUUAGCCCGGGACAGAUUUUCCAUGCAGCAGAUUUAGUCCUUUAUGCGUCCAGCUCCUUUCCAUCUCGUUUGUGAGCUUUCUUUUGCGUCAAGUAAGCCAUAAAUUGCUGUAUUUUGCAUCAUUUAUACCUGAAACUUUCCUAAUCACAUUUGUUAGCUCAUUUACAGGAAAAAGGACUAAAAGUGUACGAAAUAGAUAAUUAGUUCUCGAAACUAGGCUAAAAUAUGGGCAAAAUAUAUUGAUAUAGGCGCGUAAUUUCGCCUAUCAUCAAAUGAUCCAUCAAUUUUAUAUACUGCAAGAAAAUUCAUUGGCUCAUACACAUCGAACACUUCGACCUUGUCAUGAGCAUGAAUAGUAAAUUGUCUUGCGCCUACGUCAAUUAAUAAAUUCCUAGUUUCUAAAAAGGGACAUCCAAAAAUAAAUGGGACUUUUGAAUUAACAUCAAAAUCAAGAAUAAUGAAACCCAUUGGGAAUAUAAGCUACUUGGACCAAUACAUCUUUAAUAAUUCCAUCUAGGCUUGCAAGGGAAGUUGUUCUUCUCGUAGUGAGUUUUUUAAAUUAUAUAAACUAUCANNNNNNNNNNNNNNNNNNNNNNNNNNNNNNNNNNNNNNNNNNNNNNNNNNNNNNNNNNNNNNNNNNNNNNNNNNNNNNNNNNNNNNNNNNNNNNNNNNNNNNNNNNNNNNNNNNNNNNNNNNNNNNNNNNNNNNNNNNNNNNNNNNNNNNNNNNNNNNNNNNNNNNNNNNNNNNNNNNNNNNNNNNNNNNNNNNNNNNNNNNNNNNNNNNNNNNNNNNNNNNNNNNNNNNNNNNNNNNNNNNNNNNNNNNNNNNNNNNNNNNNNNNNNNNNNNNNNNNNNNNNNNNNNNNNNNNNNNNNNNNNNNNNNNNNNNNNNNNNNNNNNNNNNNNNNNNNNNNNNNNNNNNNNNNNNNNNNNNNNNNNNNNNNNNNNNNNNNNNNNNNNNNNNNNNNNNNNNNNNNNNNNNNNNNNNNNNNNNNNNNNNNNNNNNNNNNNNNNNNNNNNNNNNNNNNNNNNNNNNNNNNNNNNNNNNNNNNNNNNNNNNNNNNNNNNNNNNNNNNNNNNNNNNNNNNNNNNNNNNNNNNNNNNNNNNNNNNNNNNNNNNNNNNNNNNNNNNNNNNNNNNNNNNNNNNNNNNNNNNNNNNNNNNNNNNNNNNNNNNNNNNNNNNNNNNNNNNNNNNNNNNNNNNNNNNNNNNNNNNNNNNNNNNNNNNNNNNNNNNNNNNNNNNNNNNNNNNNNNNNNNNNNNNNNNNNNNNNNNNNNNNNNNNNNNNNNNNNNNNNNNNNNNNNNNNNNNNNNNNNNNNNNNNNNNNNNNNNNNNNNNNNNNNNNNNNNNNNNNNNNNNNNNNNNNNNNNNNNNNNNNNNNNNNNNNNNNNNNNNNNNNNNNNNNNNNNNNNNNNNNNNNNNNNNNNNNNNNNNNNNNNNNNNNNNNNNNNNNNNNNNNNNNNNNNNNNNNNNNNNNNNNNNNNNNNNNNNNNNNNNNNNNNNNNNNNNNNNNNNNNNNNNNNNNNNNNNNNNNNNNNNNNNNNNNNNNNNNNNNNNNNNNNNNNNNNNNNNNNNUUAGGUGUGUAAUAGGUCAUUAGUAUAGUUUAGGUGUGGCUUCGAUUUUUCUUGUAUAGUUUUGGGCGGAAAUGAUGUCUUUUCCCCUUUAAAGAAUAUACAUGCAUAUAUACAUAAUACAUCCAAUAUAUAGUACUUUUAAAGAGUAUACAUACAUAUAUACACUUAAUAUUUACUAUUCAAAAGAAUAUAUAUAUAUAUAUAUAUAUACAUACAUGUACACAUUUAAUAUAUAUACUACUUUAAAGAAUAUACAUACAUAUACAUUCAAUAUGUACUACUUCGAAAAAGAUACAUUCAUUAUUUUCAACAACAUAUACUACUACUUAAUAAAACACACACACAUAUACACAUACAUACAUAUAUAUAUGUGUGUGUGUGUGAGUAUAUGUGUGUAUACAUAUAUAGAGAGAGAGAGAGAGAAGGAGGGGAGAGGGAGGAAGAAGGAGAAAUAUAAACAAGGGGAUAUGACAAAGAAAGUACCUAAGGAGAGUGAGAAUGUAGCCCCAAAGUUUCCUCCGGCCAUCAAAAGCCCAGAUGAUAAUAUUUCACAUACAAUACAUGAAAUUAGAGACAAUAAAGAGGCAAAUACAGGGAGAGACUUAGUAAUACAAGAUAGUAACAAGAUUAUACAACAAUAUAGAACUGAUGAUGAGAUUUACAUCAAUAAGAUAGUUGUUUCAGUCUCCACAGUAGCACAAACUAAUGAAUCAUUAGUGGUGAUGGUUCAUAUUGAAUCUCCUAAUACAAAAUUGCAUAACAUUCUUACUCAUAAGUCUGUAGAGGUAAAGAAGAAAGAUAUAGAAGAGAAGAAGGAUUUUGAUAGUACAUAAUAUCAAAUUUUAUGGAGGAACAGAUUUUUAAUGAUGCAAAUCUCUCUCAUGGGGUAGAGAAAGCACCUAAGUUGCCAAGAAGGGAAGGAAAUAAGGUAAUGGUAAGGUCAUACAACCUUUUAGAAUUCAACUAGAGAGACACAUUACUUCUCAGCAAUCAAAAAGUCAAUGAAAGCACUAUAUGGAAAAUAAGGCUAGUAAAGUCUCAAAAUGUAUUGCAAAGAGCGUAAAUGCUGCACAAUUAUCACAAGUUUGCAUUUGUGACUUUAAUGAAGCCUUUUCAGUCAGUAAAUCAAAUGAACAAAAAUCAAAGAUAAUUAAGAAUGCCUAGUUCUAUACACAAUAAUAAUGGAAAGAUUUGGAUUUUCUCAAAUCAUGGCUAUGAUGUUACAAGGAUGUCAUGACCCAAUUUACAAGUCCUGAUGGCACUUACUUUAUUAGCCAGUAGGUAAGCCAAAUCAUAGCUCGAAUCUAUACGCAAUAGGCUAACUUGAUGGAAAAUCACCCAAAGGCCAGAAAUUAACAUUUGAAGACUUAAAACAAUAAUAAAACAAUCAUAAUAAUCCAAUAGAUAGAUAAUUGAUCAACAAUCAUUCCAAAACCUAUUAAUGUCGUUACAAAGCUACUACAAAUGAACAUAAGUACUGAAAUUGUCAAAUAUAAUCCAUCUCAAAAAAUAAAAGACUAGAUAUGGAUAAUGGAUGGGAAAAGACAACUCCGACUCCAACCUCACUCAAUCUCCCAAAUCAACCUAGCAUGAGUGUCACAUCAACGGCGACAACUGGUACUCAAAUCUACACCAAAAGGUACAAAAGUGUAGUAUGAGUACCAAAAUCAUGAGUACUCAAUAGGCAUCAUCGACCGAUUAAGUUAAUUAAUGAUAUAAAUAUGAUAAGACACAAGAUAAAAUAACAAAGUCAAGGUAAAAGGGCAAGCCUUAAAAUAAGAUCCAACACCAUUGUGCAUAAGUAAAUAAGUAAAUACGAAAAAGUAACAUAAAGAUCACACAAUCCUAAUUACUAAAUUGGCCCCCAUAAUUCAAUAAGUGCGAAAAAUUAAACAACUCAAUGCAAGACCCAAAAAUGUAGUAUGAGUACCAAAAUCAUGGGUACUCAGUAGGCAUCAUCGACCCUGAGCUAAAUCAUGAUAUAAAUAUGAUAAGAUGCAAGAUAAAAUAACAAAAUCAAGGUAAAAGGAAAAUCCUAAAAAUAAGAUCCAACACCAUUGUGCAUAAGUAAAUAAGUAAAUACUAAAAAGUAACAUAAAGAUCACACAAUCCUUAUUACUAAAUUGACCCUCAUAAGUCAAUAAGUGCGGAAAAGUAAAUAACUCAACACAAGACCCCAUAAGCCUGGCGGGUACAAUCAAAGAAAAGUAAUUAAUUGAAUGACCAUAAAUUACCCAUUUAUCAUGCCAUAACCAAGGAUCCAUCCAUACCGUAUCAUAUCAUAAAUAACUCUUACUAUCUCACUUAAACCAGAACUCAAUAGCACUAUCAUCAACACAUACCCAAUAGUAUUAACAUCAUAACAUCAUUUUCCAAACUUGAAUCGAAACUCAUAGUAUCAAUAUCAUCAUCAAUUGUCGGACUUGAACUGGAACUCAUUUAUCAUUAUCAUCAUCAAUUGUCGAACUUGAACCGAAACUCAUAUAUCAUUAUCUUUAUCAAUUUUUAGACUUGAACCAAAACUCAUAUAUCAUUAUCAUCAUCAAUUGACUAUAUAAAUCAACCUUAAUCAUAAGCAAUAUCAUUAAAUUACAAUAAUUACCCAUUGAGUCUUACCCAUAAUUAACACUAACUCUCAACUACCAAACUAGCAUAAUCAAUAAGCACUGAAUCUCCUCAAAGUCCUAAAAAAGUUAUCAAUAAGGAUAUAUCAUGCAUAAAUAAGUCUAUAAAAUCGAACACAAGUCUUGGCCUAAGGUGAGCUGAAGGGGCCAACUUCUAAUUCUCGAAAUCCAUUUUGAGAAAAUUCUACCUUGAACUAGGAUAAGGUAUCUAAAUUCAUUUCUAGAUGUUAAAUAAGUCAUAAUUAGCUCUAAGAAAGCAAUUCUCCUUAAAACAUGAGCAACUAAGUCCAUAACGCCGAAAUUACAGUUUCUAGAUAGCUUAAAUAGUCCAACUAACCUAAAAAAUUUCAAUCAUACCUCCAACACCUAAAUCUCACCCAUAUAUAACAUAAUAUCAUAAUCGUAAUAUGAAAUAGUUCAAUCUAUAAAAAGGGUAAACCUAGACGAAAAGCCCGAAGAAUCUGCUAAACCACUGAUUUCCCCUUUUGAGGAGCUUUCACAAGGUGCCAUGCUAUCAAAAUCACAAUCUACUCAUCAAAACAAAAUCAAUGAUACCUAUAUUGCACGAUUUUUCUUCGGGUCCAAAAUUAUGUAAAUAUUUCAUGUGGGCCCAUUUAUAGAAUCACCCUUUUGAAAUCAUCACAACGUUCGUCUAUGCUCAGGAAAUAGUUACUCUUAAAAAUAAGUUAAUUUUGCGAUCUAAUGAUGCUAAAAUCAAGCCACCAAGAUUUUAGGAUUUUUUAAAAAAAGAUGGAGAACUAAACCAAGAAAUUGAUGGAAGCUUACCACAAAUUUGAAGAAGAAACAUGUAAAUUAACUUCACAAAGAUCCACAAUCACCCACAAGUGAUUCUACCAAGUUUUUUCCAUAUUUUAGGAUUCAAUAUUCUAAAGAAUGGAAGGAAAAUAGUGAAAAUCGGGUUGAGUGGGGUAUUUAUACCCUUAUCAGGUACGCUGUUGCUUCUUAAGCAGACAUUGGGUCAAUUAAGCCGUCACAGCUUAUGCGACCUAGUGUCUCAAAUCAACAGCUGGGUUACUUUACAGGUACCACUUAAGUGGUCCCUUGCCGCUUUAGCGACUACCACUUAAGCAAACCUCCCCUAGGCUAACUCAAUCGGUUAAGUGAUCGACCGACCGCUUUAGCAGUCUCUUCAUUUAAGCGGCCCAAUAGGGUGAUAAAGCAGUGACCAGCACCAACUGAGACUUAGAAUUUUUCCAAUUCUCCGCGAACUCUUUAGGAUUCAUCGAGAAUCUCAUAUAUACAAAUAAACUAUGCUACCCUAUUAAAUUUGAUAUUUUGGACUCAAUGCCGCAUUCUAAGUUUCCAUCUAAUAUCAUUUCAGUGAAAAAUGGGUCCCACACCCAUUACCAUUUUUCUUAACUUCUAAUAGCCCAAAAUAAAUUUGGUAGCAUCACGACCCGAACCAAGAGGCCUUCGAAUAUAAAAUUCAUAAUUGGCAUACGAGGUCGUUUGACUAAAUAUUUUCCCCGAUAGUAAAUUUGAACCAUCAAAGACUUUAAAAUAGAAAAUUGUCUCUAAAAAACAAAUGAACAACCCGAUAAUCGAACUUUCAGUUCCAGCAAGUCAUACCUGACUUGAGGCAACUAUAGGAAAUUGUUAAAUGAAAAAAUUAGCGAAAAUAUAGAAAAUAACCUGGAGGGUCAUUACAAAGGAAGAGUAAUUCUGAGCAACAAAUCACUAUUUUACUACAGAACAAGUCCAUGAAACUAUGUUUCUAUGUUCCUAUUAUAUAUGUAAAGUAUGACACUCUUUAGAUAAUAGAUCUAUGGGAGGAUUUCUAUGCUCUUUCUACUAAGGUAGAUAAAUUAUGUAUUAUAAAAGGUAAUCUUGAUGUGGUACUUCAUGCUGAAAAGAAAAUAAAGGGGGAAUUCCUGUGGUGGGUGCAGAUUAUAAAGACUUCAAAACAUGUAUUGAAACUUGUGAUCUCUCUCUAAUGCAAUUUAAAGACAGUCCUUUUACUUGGUUGAAUAGAAGAGCUUAUAAAUAUUGUAUUUUUAAAAGGCUAGAUAGAAUAUCGAUUAAUUCAGAGUUACAAUUUUUUUUUAUCAUUGUAAAGUAGAUCAUUUGUCAAGAAUUAAAAUAAAUCAUGCCCCUAUGCUCCUUAAUUGUGAAGAUAGUUGUUCGAGUAAUAAGAAACAUUUUAAGUUUCUAAACAUCUGGAUAGAUCAUGAAUCUUGUAAGAAUGUUAUUAUAUUAAACUUUAAAAUAAAGACUAGGAAGAUCAAAAUGGCUCUCACCAUAUGGAUUAGGGAGACUUUUUGGUCACAUUUUUCAGAAACUAAUUAUCAAGGAGGAUCUAGCUAAAAUCAAGGAGAAGUUCUUUGAAAUUAUCCAUUGAGAAUAGAGUUGUCAUGCAAAGAGCCAAAACAGAAUAUAAUAAGUAUCUUUAUUUUAAGAAAUUAUUCUGGUAAUAAAAAGUUAGAUAUGAAUGGUUUGAAAAUGAAGAUAGAACACCAAUUUUUUUCAUAAUUUGGUUAAGGGGAGAAGAUAGAAGAUGAAGGUGCAUAGGAUUCAAAAUGCUCAAGGGGAUUAGUUAGAAUAAGAAAAUAUAUUGCAAUUGAAGUUGUAGAUCAUUGCCAGAAAUAGUUUCUACAAGAAAGGGAUUCUACUAAUUUUUGUUUGUUAUCACAUAUUCCAAAAAUAUCUCAAAGAGGAGGAUACAAUAUUAGAGGUCAUACCUAACAGUGAAGAGGACAAAUGUAAUUUUCAGGCUGAAUGAAAAUAGUGCUAGUGGUCCUGAUGAACUUUCUAGAGGUCUUUUCAAGAAUAUUGGGAUAUUGUAGGAUCCAACAUUACUAGAAUAUUGCAAGACCUUAUUUGCUGGUAAAACUCUCCCAAAAUCUAUUACGCACACUAAUAUAAUUUUCAUACCAAAAAAAAAGAAUGUUCAUACCUUUCAGGUAUAGUAUGAGACUUAUUCGCUUGAGUAAUUUUAUUAAUAAUAUUUUAUCAAGAAUUGUUCAUGAUAGAGUGGAGUAUAUUCUCCCUAAGUUGAUCCUAUCAGUCAAUCUAACUUUGUUAAAGGGAGAAGUAUUAUUAAAAAUGUUCUUCUUACUCUGGAUUUAGUGACACAAAUUUCUAAAAGAUGAAACCUGCUAAUGUACUCAUAAAUCUAGAUAUGACAAAAUCUUAUGACAGAGUUUCUUGAUUUAUUCUAACGUAAAUCUUAAGGAAGGUGGAUUUUGCUACAAAUUUUGUAGAUAUGGUACAAAAGUUGAUUUAUAAUAAUUACUACUCAGUUCUUCUGAAUAGAAGUAUUAUGGUUUCGUUAAAUUUACUAAGGAAGUGAAAUAGAGAGAUUCUCUAUCCUAGCUCUUUCCACUCUUACUAUAGAGGUUCUUUCAAGAGUUCUUAACUCUUUGUUUGAGAAUCCAUAAUAUGUCAGGUAUGAGUUGACUAAGUGGAGUACUAAUCUUAAUCACUUAGCAUAUGCAUAUGAUACUAUUGUCUUUGCUACUACUAAUGUCUAUUAUUUUGAAAAGUCAUGUCUAUUUUAUAGGAAUAUGAGAUGCAAUCAGGCUAGAAGGUGAAUAAAAAUAAGAGUUUUUAUUAUUUACAUCAAAUUAUAACUAUAGGGUCUUCCUCCAGGUGGAGCAAAGUAUAGGGAUGGCUAAGGAUCUCUUCCUAUGAAGUACUUAGGUUAUCUUAUUACACAUUCUAGGAAAAGAAAAGAACAUUAUUCAGAUUUGAUUAACAAAGUCAGAGGAAACUUCAAUUAUAAAAAGGGAAGAUACUCUCAUAUAGUUGUAAAGAAGUUCUUCUCAAUAGUAUGCUUCAAAGCAUUCCUAUCUAUCUGUUAUCUGAUAUUACUUCCUCUAAAGCUGUUAUUAAGGACCUGCACAAAAUUUUUGAGAAGUUUCUUUGGAGUAAGAAGGAGUUCAGUAGAAGCAAUCACAGGACAAAAUGGAUAAAAAUUUGCUUACAAAAGUAGGAAGUGGGUCUUGGUUUCAAGUAUUUAUUUGAUGUAUCACAGCCUUUGUAUGCUAAAGUAUGGUAGAUAUUUAGGACAUAAAAUAACUUGGGGUCCAAUUUCAUAUGGAACAACUAUUGUAAGAAAUAAAUUUUCACAACUCAAAAACUUCGGUCAUGAUUGUACCUACUUCAACCCACUAGUAGGUAAACUAAGACCAAAGCCAUUAUAAGGGAUAUAUACACAAAUGGCAUAACAAAAAGAGGGGAAGAGAUAAAAUAUACAAAAUGAAUCUCCCCAAGACCUGGUAAAGUCUGUACAAGAGUCAAUAUUAACGAUGAGUACUAGACAAGUGCCAAAGUAUACAUAAUAGUCUUUGAAUAUACAAAAUAAGACUAGCACCAAAAGAAAAGGAGAUGGAUCAUCUCCGAAUGCUAAAAGCUCACUCAAAUCUCCGAUCAACAUUACCAUUUGAGGUCGGUGUCAACGGCGAUGACACAUACUAGGAUCUACAUUAGCAAAAAAGAUGUAGAAGUAUAGUAUGAGCACCAACACAUGGGCUAAUCAUUAGGCAUCAUAGUCCGAAUGAGCUUAAUUAAAGUAAAAGGAUGAUAAAGUGCGAAUCUAUACUAAAAAGGCAAUAAAUAAAGGUUAGAAUGGAAAUCGCAAGGUAUGGUAACAAAUGCGAGAAUCAAAUGUAAAUAGCUCAAAAAGUUGAAAUAAAUGCCUAACUAUAGCCUACCUAACUGGACCCCCAUAAUCCCAUAAGACACACAUGAUAAAAAUAAACCCAACCAAGCCCCCAUAAGCGCGAUGGAUGCAAAAAUAGAGUAAUACUAAUAUAAGACCAAGUAUAACAAAAGGGUAAGUAAAAUGAGCCAAGAUGUGUAAUAACCGUAUCAUAUAUUCUUUCUCUAACCAUAACCAUAAAUCCUACCAAUCUUAAGCCACUUUUUCAACUAAAUAUCAAUAAUAAUUAAUGCUGGAAUUAAACCAAAAUUGAUGGAUUAUAAAUGGUAUACCAGAUGUCGAAAUCAAACCAGAACUAAUAGGUAAUAAACAGUAAAUUGGGUGCCAAAUUUUAACAAAACUAAUAAGUAAAAAAAAUAAACCAGGUGUCGAACUCAAACCGUAACUAAUAGGUAUACAACAUAAGUAUAAUCCAGAGUUCUAAUUUAUCUUAAGUCUAUCUUGUCCUUUUUCUCAUUUUUAAAAGCUACAAUUUAUUUAAAAAGUGUAAGGUUUCAUUUAUUUAGUGAAAAGUCGUGAUUUAAGGUCAAAAUACCAACAUUCCAAGGACAUAAAAUUCAGCCAACAAAGUAUAACAAUUAAUCAAACCCAACUCUAAUAAUAAGUCUCUCAAAACAACCCUAUAACAUUUAUGUCAAAAAUAGGUGAUAAGUACAACUAUAUGUCCUGGGAUCCAACCUAAGGCAAAAAUCUACCUUAAUCUAGGAAAAGGCUUCUAAAUCCCAUCCCAUUUCCCUAAGUAUACUAAGUCAACUAUGAAAUGAGAAACAACACCAACUUAAGGAAUUAAAGUAUAAAAUCUAUCCUACAACCCCUAAUCAACUAAAAUAAUCAGGAAUUGUCUAAUUGACUAUCCAAACCACAAUGAUCCACCAAUAAUACCACCACGCCAUACCAAUACCAUAAAAUAGCAAAGUCUAAAGAAAGGUAAGCCAGCCUACUCGAAAGUUGUCGAAAGCACUCAAAAAUUCUCUAUAUCAAAGCUUUUCCUUUUUGAGAAGCUUUCGACCACUAUGACACGAUCAAAAUAAUGAUCUAGGUGUUAAGAUGAGAAUAAUGAUAUCUAUUUAUAAAUUUAUACUCUAGAUUAAAAAAUUGGCUAAAUAUCAAAUCAAUGGAAUUGAGAAUUGAGUCUGUUACUAGGUCCCUCUUAGAUCAAGGAUCACUUGCUCUAAAAUAUAGCUUAAUUCAAGACUAACGAGAAAGCUAAAUAGUCCCCAAAAAGAAGGAUAGAUGCUUAAAAUUAGAAUUUAAUCCAAAUCGAGAAUGAAACAUACAGAUUAGAUAUGGAGAGAUAAUCAAUUAGUCUAUCUACUAAUGAUUCCAAGCUCCAAAGUAUGACCAAAAGUUGAUUAGAAAGUUCACAAUAAUCAAUAAUGGAGGAAAAUUUGAGAAAAUAACCAAAAGAGGUAAAGUAGAGUUUAUAUACAAUGACCUUUUCUUUUGGCCGCUUAAGUGGCAUCGCCAAAGUGGUUGACCUAUUGCUUAGGCGAGGGUCCCUAUUUACCCAUGACAUUGCCUAAGAGGAUCCUUCUAAAGAGGUGAAAAACUUACCUAAGCAACAGAGGGUAACAUCAGUGCUUGUCGAGUAAGCGACCUUCUGGCGCCAAAGUGGUAGCACUUUAAAUUUUCAGGUAAGACGAAAAUGACUUUGAUUGGAUGAUCGAGAUUUGUUUGGACCCCGUGCAUGCAAACAAACUAUACUACCUACCAAAUUUGACAUUCCAUACUGAACAUAACCAUCAAAAUUUCCAAUAGAGGUUAUUUUGACAAAAAGUAGAUCCCACACCCAAGGUUCCAUUUAAUCCAACUAAUAGCAUAAAAUGAGAUCAAAAGCCUCAAAACACAAAUCAAAGGUUCCCUUGGCCUAAAAUCAACACUCUUGAGCUAAUAAACUUUUGAAGCUCCAAAAUAGAGAAAUAUCUAUAACCCUAAAUAAAGUGCUUAAAAACUAAACUAUCAAUCACAAUAAGCAGAAACAAUAUGAAAAAGCAAAAAAUAACCUAGAGAAUCAUUACAAUAUCCACUACUAAAAGGACUUUCAUUCGUGAAAGUAAGGAAUUAAGAAAUACCUAAGGGCUUGAACACAUACCAUGCUUAAUCUCCCAAGUAACAUUCUUGAUCGGAUGGUGUCUUCACUGGACAUUAACCACGUAAAUCUCUCUACAAUACAACCGCCUAACAUCUCUAGAUAGAAUAGAGACUGGCUCCUCCAAAAAGGUCAAACUAUUAUCCAACUGAACGAUUCCCAUUGUGUAACACCUCGAUAAUUUUUAAAAUUCAUUUUAAUACUUUAGACGAUUAUAACUCUUAAUCUAUAAAUCAUUACGUGUAUACAUUUUAUGUAGAAUUAUAGUGCUUGUAUAUUAAUGGAACUUUCAUAUUAAGUAAAGUAAACUAAUGGGCCCAAUCUAUUUUUGUUAAGUAGAUAAAAGGGGUAUAAAUAAUUUGUUUUAGGAAAACGAGGAAGGUUGAGGGGUUUAAUAUAAAAAAAUAAAAUAAAUAAGGGCUAGUGCUCUUAUUUAUUUUGAAAAAAAGAGGAACACACAGUGCUAGUACCUUCUAGCUCUUAAUGAUUCUUUUUCAUAAUCCUUCUUCUUUUCUACUCUUUUGUAAUCAUUAUUGAGAAAUUUUGGUUUGAAAACUUUAUUUUGUUGUCAAGAAUCGAGAAACAAUGGUAUCAUGAAAAAUUGGAGAUUUACUUUAAUUAGGUAAUUUCUCUAUUCUUUACUUGAAUAUUAUUAUGAAAUGCAUGUUUGAAGUAUAUGAAGAGGUAGUAAUUACCAUUUGAAUUGAAUUUCGUACUAGUUUUUGAAGUGGGUUUUAUAAUUAAGGUUCUUGAAAGGAAAAAAGGAAAAGAAUAGAGUUCUGAUAAAAGUGAAAUUUUUAGGUAUUUCUAUUGGUAGGGACAUAUUUAAUAUCGAUAUUGUAAAAUGAAUUUGCAUAAUUUUGUGCAUAAGGAAAGAGUUUUAAAACAAGGUGUAAGAUGAACCUUUGGAUUAUUGAUGAAUAUACUUAUGUAUUGUAUAUGUAGUUGCUUAUGUUGGAGUAAUUGUUCACCGUUAGGGUGGUUGAACUUAUUGGUUGGUUAGUUGAGGAAGAAGAAAUCUAGUUGUAUUGAGUUGCUAGUUGUGGAAGAAGAAACCUAGUCAUGUUGAAUUUCUUGAAACUCAUGAUCUGACCAUUAGCUAGGAAGACAUCAAAGGUAUGUAAAGCUAAACCCUUUUCUAUUGUUAAGGCAUAACCCAUAGUUAUUUACUUCUCCUAGAGGAUUUGAUUAGUAUACUUGAUAUAUGAAUGAAUCUUACACCAUCUAUAAUAUAUGCCUAAUGUCACCAAAAUAUUCACGUUCCCUUCUCAUCUUAAAUUACUUAUUUCCAUCCUUCAUGUAUUUAUAUAUUAGAGUAGCAGUAUCUGUUUUACUCUUGUCAAGUCAAGUAUCUAUAAAGUGAUACAUGAUUGCAUUGGUGUAUAUUAGAAUUUCUUAGAAUUCAUAUGAUAUCUAUCAUACUCUAUAUGUUUAGAAUAAAUAGCCAUAGUAUAGUCUCACUUGUAUAUUGAAUCACAUGACAAUAUAUAAAGAACUGGCAUUUGACCAACUCGAGUAAAUGAAUAAGUUAUACAUGGAAAGCAUUACUUUAAUAGUUAAAUAGUUUUUAUCAUGAUACACUUACACAAGCCUAUAAGGUGCUACUUGAUAAAGUUAAUAAUGGGAGGGUACAUAGGUUUGCCUUGGCAUAUCGCUAGAUGUGAUUCUAUGCACAGGAUCGAGACCAGAUCAUUAUAGUGAUCCUAAACAUUAUGGCGUAUACACCCUUGUAGCAUCAUUUACAUUUGGAGUUGGUUGGGAUACCCCUGACUCGAGCCAAUAGAUGGCAUAUAUGGCCUGUGGGUAGACCCUUAUAGUGAGCCUCUAAGAAGGGGUAUACCCUACAACUAACUGCGAUCUAAUAACAAAAGCAUACAUUAACAUUAGGAAACAUUGCCAUACAUUUGACACAAAAUGCCUUUGGUUGGCCAUCUAUGCUCAAUCGUAUUAGAUAUAGGCAUAGGACAUCACCUAGAAAAAUUUCUAGGUGUCUUAUAAUGAAGAAUAACUUUGAGAACACAUGUAUAAAAAAAAUAAGGUUGCCCACAUAAGUCAUUCCACAGUUUCUGAUAAUAUCGAUCCAUAAUUACUCAUCCUUAAUACUUGAGUUAUGAUAUGGCAGUUAGACUGGUAUAUUAGCCACUAUUUCAUAUGGUAUAUCAAUUAUUUGCAUGUUCAUAUUUCCAUUAUCUUGAUAUCUAAUCCAUAUAAGCAUCCAUACUUGUUACUUGUUAUUUUGUAUGCUUUACAUGCCAGUACAUAUUUUAUAUGUACCAAUGUCCAUUCAUUCAGUACACUACAUCUCUAUAACACAGGCCAUCAUCUGGAGCUAAUAGAUGUCUAAUACUCUUUAGUCAUGUUUGUAGUUAUAGUUUUGUUAUGUUAGGGGUCCCAUCCUAACUACAAUCUAUUGUAUGGAUAUAGUUUUAUUAAAGGCUUCGUAGACAGUAUUAAGUUAUCUAUAUGUUUGUAGUUUCACUUGUCUAUAUCAGUUGGGCUCAAUGGGCUAAAAUUGUUCAUUUACAUAGGCCUUAUAAUUAUUUAAGAAUAGAAACUCUUAUACUUAUAAUAUAUGUCAGUUGUAUAACGCAUUCUUAUACGAUUCUUGUUCGUCGUGUAUAGGCUUAGGGGCAUGAUAAAAAGUGGUAUCAAAGCCUAGAUUCAGUUAUCCCAGGGAGUCUACGAAGUCGUAUCUAGUAGAGCCUUACUUAUGAAUGUGUUGAGCACCAUAUUUAUAAUGGAGGAUCUACUUGAACAUUAGGAACCAUGUCCCUCUUUCAUGAUCUAGAUUGUGCGACAAAGUUAAGUCAUAUGAUGUUACUUCUGAUAUAAACUCUGCUUAGUGUUUGUACAGAUUCUACCUAUUUGGGGCAACCUCAAAUACGAUAAAAAUUUGGAAUACUUAUAUUUCCAACAAGAAGGUUUUAAAAUAAUAACCACCAACCAAAUAGAAACUCAAACUUGAUCUUAAGAUAGUUCAAUAUGUGUAAUCAUUUAGAUAUACUGUUAGUUACAGAAGAAAGACAAAUAGAACUUUACGUUCCUUUAUAGUUAUAGUUACCUUUGUGUUACUCCUUGCUAUGUUUAAGUACGAAUAAGGGAGAAUUAGUUAUUUGAUCAUGCAAUUAAGGAUUAUCCAUUUACUGAGACACUAAAUGAAAUUUGUUGAUUUAGCUUUAUAACAGAGUACCACUAACUUUUAGGUAUGAUGGAUCUUCUGCCAAUUCCUCCCACUUUUUUAGAAUCAAAUCCUAGAAAGGACUGUUGGCACCUCUAUGAUGAUGUGCUCAGAACCUUUAGGGUUUUGUAGGUGUUAGAACUAAAGUAGCUGAAUUUAGUUUUUAUAAGUUCAAGUAGCUUGGAUUGUUAUGGUUGUUAAGUAGACACCCAUGAUUGGCCAAUAAGGGUUAUAUGAUUUAUUAAAUAUCAUUCCAAUUGUGUACAUAGAUAUAGAACAUGUGUAUUCAAUUACCCCAACAAGACAAAUGACUUUUGUGUAGCUCUUUUUGGUUAAUGAGAACGAGAAUAAGCAUUUUAAUUGUACUAUAUAAAUACAUAUUUAAAGACACCCCAUUGUGAUAGGUGGUAUGAAUAAAUAAGAUUUCUGUGCCACCAAAGGUUAGAGUUAAAGAAUAUCGAGGGAUUAGAUGUAAGUUAAAAGUUUAACAAUCUGGCCAUAGUAGUAUACCUGAUAUUCUCUUGAUUAGUUAUAAGAGAUAAAUAAUCACAUUUGAGAUAAAUAGGGUGCUAUUUAGAUAACUUAGGCUAAAUAUGUAUAUAUGAUGGAACUCCUAAAUUAGAAUAUGUUUUAAGAUGCAUAAUUUGUCGAUAGUGUGAUCAAGUGAAAAAGGGUUGGAGUGCUUGUAAUACCCCUCAAAGUCCUAGUCAUUUAAGCCCCUUAUAGCAUGCCAAAAGAGGUCCCACACUUAGAAAAUUUCAGCCGAGUAUUGACACUUAGUCUCAUUUUUUGGCCUCGAUAUUUUAAUGACUUUAUUUUUUAUCUUUCUAGCCUUAGAUUGACAAAUUUUAAAUAGAUUCAUGAUUGGGGUUAUCUAUAGAUCAUCUCGGAUGAGUUUCAAAAUUUUUAGACAUAGUUUGAGUCAUGUUUUGAUGUCCAAAAUAGCAAGCCAAUGUGAUCUUAACGCGUCGCGUUGGCUAUUGCAUUGGUAACAUCGACGCGAUGCGUUGGCUAUUGCAUCAAAAACAUCAACGUGGCGCAUCAAUCAUCGCAUCAUUAGGCAUAGAUUUUGUAUUAAGUUACAAUUUUGUGGGGGUAAUUAAGUCAUUUUCCUCCCACAUUAAACCCCAUAACACGAAAUUCAACUCCUCAAUAGGGAAAAAUAAAUUCAUUCAAAAAAUCAUCUUAAGAAAAAGCCCUAGUUUCUUCAAGUCAAGUCCACGUUCCAAGAAAUCCCCAACAAUCUUCAUGACAUCAACAAUCAAGGUAUGUUAGGUGUUCAUCCUUGGGUUUUCUUCUACCCUUGGAAUUCAAGAACACUUUUUAAAACUACAAGUUUAUUGAUUCAUGAUUUACAUAUGCAAUUGGGUUGUAUUCAUGUUUAUGUUGUUGUAUGGGUUUCAAUUUAAGAUUUUGUUAUGAGUUUCAUGAACAUAAGAUAGCAUGUAUGUUUUUUAUGUAAUUCCCAUAUUACAAUCCUUGAAAUUGCAAGUUUAAGUUAUAGUCAUGAUGCUUAUGUGUUGUUCAUUAUUAUGUAUAACAAUCAUGCUCCCCAAGUGUUUGAUAGAAUGUCCAUGUCAAUUGAAUAGUGUAAUCAUAACAUGUUAGCAUGUGUUCUCAUUCAUGUAUAAGUUCAUGGCCUGCAAGUGUUUGGCAAAUUGCCUCAGUGAAUGAAUUGUGAACAAUUGACUAUUGAUAGUCUUUCAAGAAUUACUAUGUUUUACCAUUUAUGCUAUCGAGUCCUGGGGGUAUUUAUUACCUAAAAUCUAGCCGUUUACUUAGUUUCAAUAGUUAUAGAAAAGUCCCAGUAAAGGUCAAGGGUGGUAGUACAGUCAGUUGUUAGAACUCAGAGAACUCAGUCCAGUUCAGCCAGUUAAUAUAAUCAGUGUUAGUUCAGUCAAGCCUAGUACAUUCUAUUGAUCAGUUCAGUGUCGAUUUAGUUGGGAGUAGGAUUCAACACCGAGCAAACCCGGGGAUGGGGGCAUUCCUACCAACAGAGGGUUUGACCCUUAGCAGCAGCCCCUAUAUUAUAGAAAUACAUAGCCAGCAUAGGGUAAGUUGUCCUUCCGCCAGACUAGAGUUGAUGUAACCAUAUACAUAUAUUUCAUGAGUCUUCCUACCAAAUUAGAGUUGACUUAGCUUUGUUAGUAUCCCGUGGCACAGUACUAACACCCUUCUAACUGGGGUCACAGGUUGGACCCCAGCUCAGUUUAUAAGUGGGAUAUGUUGGUUAGAUGAACACUCGUACAAUCAUAGUUUCAGUAUUCAGUACUCAGUACUCAGUAAUCAGUCUCAGAAUUCAGUAAAAAACUCAAACAGUUCUACAGAACCAUGGCUAUCGGUUAUCAAUUACUUAACCAUCAGAAUUUAGUACUUCAGUAUCAUUCUAAACUUUCAAUUAUCAGUAUUCAGUUACAAGAACUCAGUACUUCAGUUUCAGUCUAAUUCAGACAUAUGUUAUAUGCGUAGUAUUACAUAUUCAGCAUGUUCAGUAGUUACAGUUUUGCAUGUACUCUCACCCAGUUACUUCAUGAUAUUCAUUCAGUCAGUUAUCAUCUCAUGUAUAUGAACCCAUAUAUAUCAUCCUACCUCACUUACCAUACCAGUACAUUCAAAGUACUGAUGCAUACUCUUUCUUUACGCUAUGAUGUCUUAUAUCAUAGGUUCAGAUGCAAUUAUACUUAGCAGCCCAGGAUAUCUGUAGCAUAUUCAGUAGUGAGUCCUUAUCUAUCAAGUAUAUUAUUUUAUUUUAGCAUUUUAGUAUUUUAGUAUUUCAGUUAGUUCAUUAGUUAUUUUAGUUGGAGUUAGUUGGGGAUGUGUCCCAUCAACUCCAUACUCAAACAGGUAGAGGCUUUUAGACUAGUAUAGUCAGCUAUUCAAUUUUCAGAUGUUAUUAUUAGAUAUAUUCAGUUAUUAUUUCAGUAUUUUGAGAACCUUAUGGCAUUUUUAGAUUUCUUCCACAUAUGUUUUCAAUAUUAUUAUUCAAUGCUCAUAGCAGGUACCAGUCAUGGGUUAGCUUGUAGUCCUUCGGGAUUGUAAGAACCGUGUGACACCCAGGGUGAAGUCUCAGGGUGUUACAAUGUAUCAAAGCCUAAGGUUAUAAAGAAUCCUAGGGAGUCUAAAAGUCGUGUCAAGUAGAGUCUUGUGCAUGGGAUAAGAGGCUUUGAAGCAUUUUUAGGAAAAGUUUCCCUUCUUUCAGUGUUUAUAUUGUGUGAGUGAGCAUGAGAUUAAGUUAAAAUUCUUUGCAUAAUUCAACUCUUUCUCUCGGUUACAAAGUAUGCCUACCAGAAAGACUAAUGAAAGGAGAACUGGGAACUAGCCAACACCUCCGCCCGUUCAGGCAAAUCCCCUAAAUGAGAGUUUCUCUCACUCCAAACUCAGGGCUACUUUCACUACCUUAUCUUAUUCAGUAGUUGCUCAGAACAAUCAGCUGGGUAUUUUUCUAUCUAGGCUUAUGGCCCCUACUCCGUAGAGUGAGAAAGAGAAGCGUAAGAAAAAAGGGAGAGAUAAUCAGGGGACCAUAACAUCAAGGCUAAAGAGUGGCCAUUCUAAUCCUCUCUACAGGAUGUGUGGUAGAAAUCAUCAGGGCAUGUGUAAGGCUGGUAGUGCUUUGUGUUUUGGGUGUAGUAAUCUAGGCCAUAGGGUCAAAGAAUGUCCUCAAGUGGGUUCACAGAGUCAGCAUCAUCAUUCCCAACUUAGUUUGGUCACCUGUCUCAGCAGGGUACUACUUCCAGUGCCACCUAUGGGCAACGCCCAAAUAGGGUCUAUGUACUUCAGCCAUGAUAGGAUCAGGAAAGUUCUCUUUAUAUGGUCACUAGUACUUUACAAAUUUACCAUUUUUAUUUUUAUUCUUUGCUAGAUUCAGGAGCUUUUUUGUCUUUUUAACUCCUUAUAUAGUUGUUGACUUUGGAGUCAGUCCAAAAAUCCUAGUAGAGCCCUGUAAGUCUAUCAUAGCCCGAUGGGUAUACCGAAACUGUCUGGUAUGGUGUCUGAUAAAGUUACUUUAGCAGACUUAGUAGAGCUAGAGAUGACAAAUUUUGACGUUAUUCUCAGCAUGGAUUGGCUUUAUUCAUGAUAUGCUUUAUUGAUUGUAGAAAUAAAGUUGUUUAUUUUCUGUUCCCGAAUGAACCUAUCCUAGAAUGGAGGGGUAGUACAUCAGUGCUUAGAGGUCAUCUUGUUUUAUAGCUUAAAGCGAGAUAAAUGAUAUCCAAGGGGUUUGUCUAUCAUAUUGUGCAAAUUAAAGACUCUAAUUUCGAGACCCCUAAUCUUGAGUCAGUUCCAGUAGCAUGUGAAUUUCCAGAUGUGUUCCUCGAAGAUCUUCUCAGAGUUUCUCCCAAAAGGGAAAUUGACUUUGAAAUAGACAUUCUUCCAGGUACUUAUCCCAUUUGUAUUUUGCCAUACAGAAUGGCUCCAGCCAAACUCAAAAAGCUGAAAGAACAGAUGAAAGAUCUCCUAGAUAAGGGAUUUAUCAGAACCAGUGUCCCCCUAUGAAGUGCACUAGUUUUGUUCGUACAUAAGAAAGAUGGUUCUCUUAGAAUGUGUAUUAACUACCGUCCAUUGAACAAGGCGGUCAAGAACAAGUAUCCACUUCCUAGAAUUGAUGACUUGUUUGACAAACUUUAGGGUGCUAGUUACUUUUCUAAGAUAGAUCUCAGAUCAGUCUAUCAUCAGCUCAGAGUCAGGGAAUGUGACAUACCAAAAACAACUUUCAGAAUUUGGUAUGGUCCCUUCAAAUUUCUAGUCAUGUCAUUUGGUCUUACCAAUGCCUCAACAGAUUUCAUGGACUUGAUGAACCGUGUGUUCAAGCAGUACUUGGACAUGUUCGUCAUAAUCUUUAUUGAUGAUAUUUAUGUCUACUUCUAUAAUGAAAAUGAUCAUGAUAACCAUCUCAGAAUAGUAUUACAGACUCUCAAAGUCCAUCAUAUAUUUGCCAAAUUCAGUAAGUACGAGUUUUGGCUAAGGUCAGUAGCAUUUCUUGGUCACAUAGUUCUCGGUGAUGGCAUUAGAGUUGAUCCUCAAAAGACCAAAGUGAUGAGAAAUUGGCCCAGACCUAUCUCUUCAUCAGAUAUUAAGAGUUUCUUGGGUUUUGCUGGCUAUUACCGACAGUUUGUUAAAGGAUUUUUAUCUAUUGUAUCCCCUAUUUCUAGAUUGACUCAGAUGAAAGUCAAGUUCUAGUUGUCAGAUUCUUAUGAGAAGAAUUUUUAGGAGUUGAAGACUCGACUCACUAAAGCCCUAGUUCUGACUUUACUAGAUGGUUCAGAUGGGUUUGUUGUGUAUUGUGAUGCUUCCAGAGUUAGUUUGGGGUGUGUUUUGAUGCAGAAGGGUAAGGUUGUGUCCUAUUCCUCUAGACAACUUAAGUUCCAUAAAAAGAGUUACCUCACCCAUAAGCUUGAAUUAGUAGCUAUUAUAUUAAUCCUAAAGAUUUGGAGGCACUAUUUGUAGGGGAUAUAUGUUGUUGUGUUCCCAUGCCAUAAAAGUCGGCAGUAUGUAUUUUCUUAGAAAGACUCAAACUUGUUUCAGAGAAAGAGGUUAGAUUUGUAUAUUACAUGGUUCACAGACUUAGAACGAUGACUUUAAGCUAAGGGGGAGAUGAAAAAGUAACCCAGCCAGUCCCUGAGAUUCUAGUAGUGAUGCUAGUGUAUUGUAGAAUGUCAGUAGGGGAGGAAGGUGACCAACUCAUUCUUAUCUCAGUGCAGAGUCUUGUACUUUUGUCAUCACGAUACCUCCUCAUGCUUCAUAUGUCAGCUCCAUGAUCAUAGUUCACAUUCUUGCACAUCAAAAAGAAUCAUGUAUGCUUUCAGUUCUUAGUAUAAUGAGUCCUAGUUUGCCCAGCAGUCCGACUCAUAUUCCAUGAAUUUAUGAAUUUCAAACCCAGGUCAUGCAGCUCAUGACUCAUGUAUUCAUGUUUUAUAGUAUGCUUAGUUCCCAUAAUUCAUGCUACACUUCUAGUGAUUGGCGAAAUUCAGAUUAUGUCAUGUAUAUCCUUAGUUUAGAUCUCUUGAUAAAUUCAUGAUGUUGAUAUUCUAUUCCUCAUACCUCAGUGGGUAGAGUUAUCAGUGCCCAUAUGGAUAUCUUCAAUAGUCUCAGAUGAAGUGCAGUAUUAAGGUGGAAGGUAUAGUUGAGAGAGUAUUCGAGGAGUGUGUCUAAGCUUGAAAGUCAGUAGUUGCAGUGCAUAAGGCUAAAGAUGACCCCUCCAGUAGUCAGUAGUUCCUAUGAUUUUCCGUCUUUCAAUCUAGUCUUACUUUCUGAAGUUUCAUAAAGAUGACCCCUUCCAAGAGAUAGUUGUUCGUAUCCAAGUAAUUUGUGAAUCUAGUUCAGUUCACACAUCAUGCAAUAGUUUUAGAUUCCAGAUAUUUAGUCAUGAUUCAGUUCAUAAGUGUCCCAUGCCUCAUCUCAGUCUUUCUGUAAUAAUUCAGAUAAGUUAGUAUAAUUUGAGGGACGAACUAUCCUAAGGGGGAGAUGAAAUACCCCCAAGCUUUUCAAGUACUAAAUCUUUCAUCUUUUCUUUACGAAACUAGAUCUAGCCAGAGGUAAUGGUUACUCAUAAGUUGACUCUCUCGUUCUUAUCUCAGCCAUAUGACUAUUCUCAUGUCAUUGUAUGUACUCCAGAAAAUCAGUUCAGUUCAUGUAUCAUGUUUCAGACUUAGUUUUGAUCUCAUGUUCCCCUUUCUCGCACAUUCAGGAAAAUUUUCUUAGGUUCUUCGGUAUACUCAGCCUAAGGUAAUAACCAUCCUUAUAUUUACUCUAUUCCAUGCUCAGUUACAGCUGUAUAACAUUCACAUAUCAUUCAUGCAAUUAUGAAACAGUUCAGUCAUGUGUCAUGUUUCCAGAAUUCAGUCAUGGUUCAGUUAUGUAUGUCAGUGUAAGUGCAGUUUCUCUCAGUUCAGUCAGUCUUAUUCGAGGAUGAAUAUUCCCAAGAGGGAGAUAUUGUAAGACCCCGCAAAGUCCUAGUCAUUUUAGUCCCCUAUAGCAUGCCAAAAGAGGUCCCAGACUUAGAAAAUUUCAGCCAAGUAUUGACACUUAGUCUCAUUUGUGGGCCUCAAUAUUUCAAUGACUUUAUUUUUGAUCUUUUCAUACAUGGAUUGUCGAUUUUUAAAUUGAUUUAUGAUCGGGGUUAUCUAUAUAUCAUCUCUGGUAAGUUUUGGAAUUUUUAGACAUCGUUUGAGUCAUGUUUAGAUGUCCAAAACAGUAAGCUAACAAGAUCUUGAUGUGUCGCAUUGGCUAUUAUGUUGGUAACAUCGACGCAAUAUGCCAGCUAUCGCUUCAACAAUAUCGAUGUAGUGCAUCGAUCAUCGUGUCACUGGGCACAUAUUUUGUAUUAAGUUACGGGUUUAUGGGGAUAAUUAAGUCAUUUUAUUCCCAUAUUAAACCCCAUAACAUGAAAUUCAGCCCCUCAAUAGGCAAAAAUACACUCACUCAUUCACAAAAUCCUCUCAAGAACAAGCCAUAGUUUCUUCAAGUCAAGUCUAAGUUCCAAGAAAUCCCCAAAAAUCUUUAAGAAAUCAACAAUCAAGGUAUGUUAGGUGUUCAUCCUUGGGUUUCCUUUCACCCUUGGAGUUCAAGAACCUUUUUUAAAACUACGAGUUUAUUGAUUCAUGAUUUACAUGUGCAAAUUAGGUUGUAUUCAUGUUUGUGUUGUUUUAUGGGUUUUAAUUUAAGAUUUGGUUAUGAGUUUCAUGAACAUAAGAUAGCAUGUAUGCUGAUUGAUGUAAUUCCCAUAUUACAAUCCUUGAAAUUGCAAGUUUAAUUUAUAGUCAUGAUGCUUAUGGGUUAUUUAUUAUUAUUUAUAACAAUCAUGCUCCCCAAGUGUUUGAUAGAAUGUCCAUCUGAAUUAAAUAGUGUAAUCAUGACAUGUUAGCAUGUUUUCUCAUUCAUGUAUAGGUUCAUGGCCUUCAAGUGUUUGGUAAAUUGCCUCAGUGAAUGAAUUGUAAACAAUUGACUAUUGCUAUGCUUUCAAGAAUUUUUUUUUACCAUUUAUGGUAUCGAGUCCUGGGUGUAUUUAUUACCCAAAAUCUAGCUUUUUACUUAGUUGCAAUAGAUAUAGAAAAGUUCUAGUAAAUGUCAAGGAUGGUAGUAUAUUCGGUUAUCAGAACUCAGAGAACUCAGUCCAGUUCAGGCAGUCAACACGAUCAGUGUCGGUUCAGUCAAGCCUAGUAUAGUCUAGUGAUCAGUUCAAUGUCGAUUAAGUUGGAAGUAGAAUUCAGCACUGAGCAAACUCAGGGAUGGGGUCAUUCCUGCCAGCAGAGGGUUUGACCCUUAGUAGAAGUCCCUGCGUUAUAGAACUGCAUAGCCAGCGUAGGGUAAGUCAUCCUCCUACCAGACUAGGGUUGAUGCAACCAUAUAAAUAUAUUUCAUGAGUCUUCUUACCAAAUUAGGGUUGAACUAGUUUUGUUAGUAUCUCAUGGCACGGUGCUAACACCCUUCCAACUGGGGUCACAGGUUGGACCCCAACUCAAUUUAUAAUCGGGGUAUGUUGGUUAGAUGAACAAUCCCACAGUUUAGUACUCAGUACUUAGUAAUCAGUAUUCAGUUUCAAAAUUUAGUAAAGAACUCAGACAGUUCUACAAUAACAUGGCUAUCGAUUAUCAGUUACUUAGCUAUCAGAAUUCAGUACUUCAGUAUCAGUCUAAACUUUCAGUUAUCAGUAUUCAGUUACCAAAACUCAGUACUUCAAUUUUAGUCUAAUUAAGACAGACGUUAUAUGCAUAAUAUUGCAUAUUCAGCAUGUUUAGUAGUUACAGUUUUGCAUGUACUCUCACCUAGUUACUUUAUGAUAUUCAUUCAGUCAGUUAUUAUCUCAUGCAUAUGAACUAAUAUAUAUUAGCCUACCUCACUUAGCAUACGAAUACAUUCAAAGUACUGACGCAUACUUUUUUUUUGCGCUAUAAUGUCUCAUAUCAUAGGUUCAGAUGCACGGGUUCCUGAUCAUAUAUAGCAGCCCAAGAUAUCAGCAGCAGAUUCAGUACUGAGUCCUCAUCCAUCGAGGAUAUUAUUUUAUUUCAGCAUUUCAGUUAGUUCAGUAGUUAUUUUAGUUGGAGUUAGUUGGGGUUUGUCCCAUCAACUCCAUACUCAGACAGUUAGAGGUUUUUAGACUAACCUAGUCAGUUAUUCAGUUUUCAAAUAUUAUUAUCAGAUAUAUUCAGUUAUUAUUUCAGUAUUUUAAGAACCUUAUGGCAUUUUUAGAUUUCUUCUGAAUAUGUUUUCAAUAUUAUUAUUCAGCUCUCACAGCAGGUACCAGUCAUAGGUUAGCUUAUGGUCCUUCAGGAUUGUAAGCACCGUGUGACGCCAAGGGUGCAGUCUCGGGGUAUUAUAGUGCCCUUAUUGGUUAAGCAACCAUGACAGCUCGGCCAAGUAUGAUUAGACCUUAAGGGAAAAGCCAAAAGUGGCUAAUUCCUGAGGCAACUUCAUAAGUACGUGCUAUAUAGAAGUUCUCUUGUCACGAUGUCUUUGACACCCAAUUUGUUCUCCUUUUUAUAAAUAUUUUAGAGCUACCAAUAUCUUUUUCAGUAAUAUGCUUUAUAUCAAAGUAGAUAGAAAUAGUUUUAACCUCCUAAACUAAUAAGAAGUAGGGAUGGGGAUAUCUCUUAUAUAGACUUUAACUAAAAAUAGGAUGUUUGCACUUAAAUUAUGAUUGGAUAACUUCAUAGGAUGUCCCCUGGUUUCUGAGGCAUGGAUUGCUCAUAAAAUUAGUCAUCGUGAAAACAUAUAUAUAUGUGAAUGUAUAUGUGUAUUGUAUCGUGAAAACAUAUAUAUAUGUGAAUGUAUAUGUGUAUUGUAGCUUACUUCUUGUAAGAUUAUACAUAUUGUGUGUAUUAUAAAUUACUUUUCUACAUAUUACUUGUUUUCAUAAUUCUACUAGUUUAUAUGGUUAUGUUCCCUUUAAGAAUUAUUUUUAUUUAUAUGCUAUUCAUAUUAUAGAUCCUUAAUGUACAGAGAACAUAUUAUUUGAAUUAUUGUUUAUGUAAUAUGUAUGUCCUCGAUUAUUUUUCUUACGUUAUAUGUUUGGUAAAUUAUUUACUUAUAUGCUACAUAUAAAGAGUGUGUUCACAUGCUAUAUGUUUUGUAAAAUAUUAAUCAAUGUUAGAUGCUUUUCCGGAUACUUGCUCAUGUGCUACUAGUAUCCUAAGUCAUUUUGUUAUAUGCUAUAUGUUAUAUGUAUUCUGAUUGUGUCUUACAUGUUUUGUAAAAGCUCCGUAGAUGCUAUAUGUCGAUCUACAUGAUUAUAUGUUUUAUAAAUUAUUUUUUCUAUAAGUUAUUUAUUUCGUGUAAUGUUUGAUAGUAUGUUAUAUACAUACGCAUCAAAGAAUAUAUUUUUUAUGCUUUAUGGGUUUUUAUUUACGUGUUAUGGACAUAAUGAUUCAGUCCUUUCUACUUACACGUCAUAUAACUUAUUUGUCCAAAUAUUAUACAUUUCAAAAGUUCAUAUGAUUAGAAUGUCAAAUAAAAUUAAACGAAUUACAUAACAUUUGCUUAGUAGUUUAUAGAUUGUACGGAUACCUAUUUAAAGUUAUAGUUCAUAUGAUCAUACGUCAUAACCAAGUUAUUACAUGCCAUAAAUUUUCACAAUCUUAAGAUCUAAAGCUUAAGCAUUUUCAUAGAUGACUUGCCUUUUUGAUUAUAUGAUAAAUGUCAUGUCAUCUACAUGAUACAUACAUCGAAAAUCAUCUAUCUAUAAAUUAUAGUUGUUAUAAGUUAUAUGCUAUACACUACCUUAUUCAAGAUGUGGUUGCAUAAGUGUUAUGCAUCUCAUGACUUGCCUAUUUAGAGAUAUUAAAAGUUCUAUUUGCUCACAAAGGAUACAUUUACUUGCUUAUAAUCCGAUUCAAGUGUAUUUUAAUUUGAUUAAUUUAUAGACAAUGUUCUCGACAGAGGUCCACGAUGAGUAUUAGAAAGUGAUAUUGAACGAACGAAAGUUGAAAAAUGUUUUAUGAUUUUGCUCCACUUUGGAAACUAUAGUAAUGUAGUAGUAAGUCGUAGCUACCGAUUCUUUGAUUGUAUCAAUUCUACAAAUGAACACUGUUAGAUCUCUUGAAUUCAUUAGCAAACUGAAAAUAUAUGUUUGUUCAAUUAUUACUUGUUAGAACAUCACUAGUUUAGAGGUUAAAAUUUAAAUUAGGACUUGGGUGUAUUUGAUACCUAUUGUUAUUUGAUCUUGCUCUAAAAUGAAUUUUAUGUUAAUUAAAGCUUUUAUUUAAUCAUUUAUCUUCCUACUGGUUUCAUUACUUAACUAUUUUUUUCUUCAAAAAGUGAUAGUAUUUCUCCACUUAGCGCUAAUCCAAAAUUGCACCUUCAAGUAUGUGACCAAAUUCUGUCAUAUACAUACUCUGUACCUUAGAAUUCAUGUAUUAGAUUACCUGUAUCUAUAUGCUAGUAUAUCACAAUCACUUUACUUAUAUGAUGUUUGUCAUUUUAAUUUAAAAUUCUAUGUAUUAAGUAACAUUAUAACGUACCUAUUUAUAUGUUUAUAUGACAAUCAUGCGAUAGCUCAUUUAUUUAUAUGUUGUCUGUUUUAUUGUUCAUCUAUUUACAUGUUAUUUUAUAGUUUAUAAGCUCAUAUUCCAUAGAUUUUUGUAGUUUAUCGGCAUAUAGAUUGCAUGUUGUGUAUUCUCCUCUAGUUUAUAGUUUAUACACCUAUUAGAUUUACAUGUUUAUAUCUGUUUUAGUGGCUCGCAUGUUUACAUGAUUAUAUGUUCUUCAUAUUUAUUUUCCUACAUAUUAUAAUUUCUUUAUACUUAUUUUCAUAAAUAGAGAGGUAUGAGUUAAGUUUAUUCUUCUAUGUAGAGGUCAAUUGAUUUAUUUGGUUUGGAUAUUGAAAGGAUAGUCAAAGAACUUGAGUCAUCAAGAUCUCUUGAAGCUAAGAAAUGUGUUUCUUUAAGAAUUAUAAGUUCAUAUUAUAAACUGAUAUUUUAUUAUUUUAGAUAUAACCUAUGGAAGGUGUCACAUGAUUCAGAAGGAGUGCUGGGAGCGGUAAAUUAAGCCUAAGUAAAUAUGGGCCUAUAACUCCUUCGUUCAGUUGUUAUCUGAUUCUAACAUGACACCUUUAGAUAGUUGAUUCGUGCCAAUUAUUCAAAGUUUUACAUGGAUGUAGCAUCUAGAGAUAAAGUUUAAGGUAAGUUAUGGUAUUUUUUUAUAGCUAUCAUUUGAUUAUAACGCCAGUUGGAGCAUUGUGUAUUAUCAGUUGAGUAGUAUAUUUGUUGUAAUGCUCUGUAAAGAAUAUUAUUAUGUAUUCUAGUUUAGUGAUAGGUUUUUGAUUGGUCUAUUUAAAUGGGAAACACUGUCAAAAUCUUUGGAAAAUUUAAGAGUUAGCCAAAUUUUAAGACCUUAAAGUAGAUUAAGGAAAGUUAAAGUUGAGUAGAUGAUCCUUGAAUUUCUUAGGUAAUUAUAGGAUUCAAAAUAAGCUAUGCGUAUCAUUCGAGAAUGAAUGAUCAUAAGUGGGGGAGAUUUUAACACCUCGAUAAUUUUUAAAAUUUAUUUUAAUACUUUACAUAAGUAUAGCUCUUAAUCUAUAAAGUGUUACGUGACAUAUACAUUUUAUGUAGAAUUAUAGUGCUUGUAUAUUAAUGGAACUUUCAAAUUAUGUAGAGUAAACUACUGGGCCCAAUCUAUUUUUGUUAAGUAGACAAAAGGGGUAUAUAUUAUUUUUUUUAGAAAAGGGAGGAAGGUUAAGGGGUUUAAUAUAAAAAAUAAAAUAAAUAAGGGCCAGUUCUCUUAUUUCUUUUGGAAAAUAGAGGAACGUAUAGUGCUAGUACCUUCUAUCUCUUAAUGCUUGUUUUUCAUAAUCCUUCUUCUUUUCUACUCUCUUGUAAUCAUUAUUGAGAAAUUUUGGCUUGAAAACUUUCUUUUGUUGUUAAGAAUCGAGCAAUAAUAGUAAUACUUUAUGUUUUCACCUUUAAUGAAAUCAUAAGAAAUUGGAGAUUUACUUUAAUUAGGUAAUUUCUCUAUCCUUUACUUAAAGAUUAUAAUGCAUGUUUGAAGUAUAGGAGGAGGUAGUAAUUACCAUUUUAAUUGAAUUUCGUACUAGUUCUUGAAGUGGCUUUUAUUAUUAUGGUUCCUGAAAGGAAAAAAGGAAAGAAUGGAGUUGUGAUGAAAGUGAAAUUUUUAGGUAUUACUAUUGGUAAGUUCAUAUUUAAUAUUGAUAUUGUAAAUGGAAUUUACUUAAUUUUGAGCAUAAGGAAAGAGUAUUUUAGUUAAGUAUAAUCACUUGAAAUGUGAAUAUAUGACUUGAAAAUGGUUUAGUGUUGUCACUUGAAAUGUGAAUUCAUGACUUGAAAAUGGUUAAGUGUUGUCACUUGCAAUGUGAAUUAGAGACCUGAAAAUGGUUUAGUUACUUGAAAGGUGAAUGUAACGCCCCGAGUUUGUACCCUAGAUACUACACGGUGCUUACGACCUCGAAGGACCACAAGUUAACCCAUAACUGAUAUAUGCUGUGAGCACAGAAUAAACAUACUAUAAUAAAUACAGAAAUAGGCUGAAAUUCCAUAAGGUUCAAUUAUCUGAAAUACUAAUAAAGAAUAAUAGUAUUUGAUAAUAUCUGAAUUUGAAAUACUGUCUAAAAAUCUAGUCUGAAAAGCAUCUAACUGAAAUUGUUUGAAAGUGAAGUUAAUGGGAUAAUUCCCCAACUAACUCCAUCUACUGAAAUACUAUAUCUACUGAAAAUACUAAAAUAAGGAAUAUCCUCGAUAGAUGAGGACUCACUACUAAGUCUGAUACUGCUGGCUGAAUCGAAAUCUAACUAUGCGCGGUCGGGAACCUGAGCAUCCGAACCUAUGAUAUAAGACAUCAAAGCACAAAAAAAGAGUAUGUGUCAGUACGUGGAAUGUACUAGUAUGCAAGAUGAGGUAAGGCUGAAUAUAGGGGUUCAUAUGCAUGAACAAUAAUUAUCUGAAUGAUAUAGAGUAACUGAACAUGAGAGUACAUUGAUAACUGAAACUACUAUAGUACUGAGUAUACAAUUUGUGCAUAUACAUAUAUAUAUAUACUGUAAUUGAGAUUUUCUAAAGCUAAGUAAUGAAUUAUAAUAACUGAGUAACUGUUAAUCGAAGUUACUGAUACUAAUUGACUGUAUCUGACAGUCCUGAUUUUGUAGACCUGAACUGAGUUCUAUUCUGAAGGCUGAGACUGAAACUGUGGGAGGUAAUAUCUAACCGACAUGCCCCAAAUCUGAGAUGAUAGAGGUAUAAUCUAUAACCCCAAUUAGAAGGGUGCUAGAACUAUGCCAUGGGUACUAAUAAUUGCUGUGGAGUUAGUCCUAACUAAUGGGUGACCCCUGAGAUCAGUCCUAAACAAUCGGGUGACCCCUGAGUAUGUCAGUCCUAUCUAACGGGUGACAUCUUAUAAACUACACUAGCUACAUAGUUUUGGAACUUAGGGAUUGCUUUUAGGGACCCACUCUUAGCUAAAAGGUGCACCCCCAUCCCUAGGCUCGCUCGGAACUGAAUCCUACUCCCAACUGAAAGACAAUGAACAAAGUAUACUGAACUGGACUGGACUGAUACGUAGUUUUCCUAAGUUCUGUAACUAACUGAGUUCUACUGUUCAUGACAUGACUGAUACGAUGCUGUAAUUGACACUAACUCUAGAUAAAAAACUAAAUUGUCGAGUAUUAAAUACCCCCAGGACUCGAUGGUGUAAAAAGUAAAGCAAAGUAUAAUCUUGAAUAACAUAACAAUGUUUACUUGGUCAUAAUUCAUUCAUAGAGGCAUUUCAUCAAACACUUGUAAUGCAUUAACUUGUACAUGAAUGGGGACUACAUGUUAGCAUGCUAUAAUGGCAUUAUUUCUUUCUCAUAGACAAUUUAUCAAACACAUGGGAAGCAUACUUGGCCCACUAGAUCAUAAACACUUAGGGUUAACAUGGUUACAACAAUCAGCUUGCAAAUUGAAGGGUUUAUCAUGAAUAUCAUGUAAAUCAACACUUACUAGGAACAAUUCUAGGAACUUGGAAUUUAAAUCAUGGAUAAUCAUAUAAACAUGGCAAUUACAAAUCCCAAUUUUGCAAAUUCAUGGAUUAUAACAUGGGGAUUACUCAAUUUAAUAUACAUGCUAUUCAAUCUCAUGGAAUCUACCAUUAAUCAUGGAUUGAAACUCAAUUAAUGUCAAGAACAUGGAUGCAAUCCAAUUUUGUAACGACUUAAUUUGCUAAGAUAACAUAAUAAUGCAGAAACAUACACUGAAAAGCCAUAAGGUUCGAUCAUGAAGAUAAUUGAAUAACAUAACAUUUGUGUGGGGUAAUAGAAUACCCAAAACAAAACUAAAGUCUAAAAUAGAUAGUCUGUAUCUAGUCUGCAUCUAGUUUGAAAGCCUCUACUGUCUAUAGAAUCUGAAUAAGGAGUUGAUGGGAUAUGUCCGCAAAUAACUCCAACUAAUAAGUUAAUCAAUGAGAUACUAGAAGAUCAUUACGUCCUCGAAGGAUGAGGACUCACUUCUACUCUGACUGCUGAAUCUGGAAUCAACUGCUAAUCUAAAACUCGUGUCGCUGAACCUAUGGUGUAACAUAAAAAAAAUCACCAUAGUGCAAAUGUGUCAGUACAAUGGAAUGUACUGAGUAUACAUGUGAGGUAGGCUAUAUGUAAGGGUUUGCAUGCAUAAUCAAUACUAACUGACUGUCUAACAUGAAUGUGAGAAUGCAUACAUAAAUACGCAACUGUAACUGAAAACAUGAUAACAUGAUAUUGAUACUGUGGUAGCAUGACUAUUGAGUCUGGAUACUGAUAACAUGACACAACCGAUAAGAUGGGUGACUGUGUCUGACAGUCCUAAAUCUAAUGGAACUAUCAGAGUCCCAUUCUAUGUCUGAGUUGACUGUGUCUAACAGUCCUAAAAUCUAAAGAAUUAUCUGAGUUCUAUUACUGAGAUUGAUUGACUGUAUCUGACAGUCCUGAUUCUGUAACAUGAAAUUGUGGGAAGUAGUAUCUAACUGAUAUGCCCCAGAUGUGCUAUAAUAGCUAAGCUGGGGUCCAAUCUGUGCCCUGAUUGGAAGGGUGUCUACACCGCGCCACUGGUAAGGACAAUAUGUGAGUAACCCUCAUAUAAUAGGUAACUCUAGCGAGAACGGUGGGAACCCUGACAUAGCAGGUUAAUCCACCUCAUCUACCCUCAUAUAGCAGGCUACGAUAUCUAAACCUAUGCUGGCUACAUAGUUCUGGAAUGCAAGGAUUGCUUCUAGGAAUCACACUCUUGUAUAAUAGGUGAUUGGUUCACUCGGUUCUAAUUCCUACUCCCAUCUAAAUGGACACUGAACAUAAUUUACUGAACUGAACUGAGCAUGGACUGAGUUACUAAAUUUUUGUGACUGACGGAAUACUACUGGCCUGAGUCAUGAGAUCAUGAAGAAUUUUCCUAAGUCAUAACACUAUCUGAAGUCUACGAGUUCAUAGAUUGACUGAGAGUAUUGUGAAAACAUGACAUGGAUCUACGCACACAGUUAAUAUUUCGGGUACAAGUACCCCCAAGACUUGAUGGAAGGAAACUGACAUAGCAUGAUUUACUUGAAGACUUGACUAUCAUCAUAAUACAUACUAUAUUCAUAGGAGCUUUUCAUCAAACAUGUAAUAGGCAUGAAUCUUGUACAUACAUGGGGAUUUCAUGAUAUCAUGCUAGUUAGACAAUAUUCCUUCAUCUAGGCAUUAAAUAAAACAUAAGACAGGCAUGGUACAUAUAAAAUCAUUAUUCAAUUCUAAUUUCAUUAUUCAAGGGUUUAAAUCUUAGGGUUGCAUGAAUCUAUUGCUAUAGUAAUUAAACCCACAUAGAAACUAUCAACAAUCAUGGAGUCAAAUCCAAUUUCACAUUUAUCAAACAUGAACAGGUGCAGCCAAAACAUAAAAACAUAUAGAAAAUUCAUAACUUGAGUUUAGAAAAGGGAUUCUUGAACUUUAUGGACGAAAGGAGUCCAUGAAUGAACACUAUGCAUACCUUAGUUCAUGAUUUCGUGAAGAUUGAUGGUGAAACCUUUUUGAAAUUGGACCUUCUAUGAAAACCCUAGCUUGAGUUCUUGAGAGUAUUUGAGAAAAACAUCAAUAUUUUGGAUGAAUAAGGGCAAAAUAUCAUGUUUGGAAGCUUAUAUAGGGGAAAAAAUUGACCCUUUUAACCCUGGACACAUAAUUUAAUUUUUCAGUAAAAUUUCCAGAAUUGGUCCCUUGGUGUGAUGCGGUGUUAUUGCGUCGUGUCAUUGGAAAUUGAAAAUUGGGAAAUUGUACGGUGGCGCGAUGUGGAGCUAUCGCAUUGCCACCUUGUCUACGACCUAGAAGCUUGGCGCGUUGCACCAGUAUCGUGGAGCAAUGCUGGAAAUUGACAAUUGCUAUUUGAGCUAUCUCCACGAUGCGCUGAUGGCUCAGGUCAAACACUGUCUCACUAAAAAGGCUCUAACUCUUUGCCCGGGUAUUACAAUAUCUCUCCCUUGAGAAAAUCAUCCUCGAAUGAGACUGACUGAGAGGGGAAACAAUAAGCUGGACAUGAAUAACUGGAACAUGAUCUCAAGACGGACGUGACUGACAAGCUGAACAUAACAUACUAAACAUACAUAUCUGAUGCAUACGUAACUAAUUCAUAAAUGCAUAACUAAAAGUUCUGAAGAACUAAGUUUUCUCAUAAUGAUAAUACAUGUCUGAUGCAUAACUAUAUAAAUGAUCUGAUACAUGAAUUCAUGACUGAAUAUGUGGUGGUACUUGAUACCAAGAUUAUCAUGGGAAAAUGAACAUGAGAAUGAAUACUAAGUUAGUGAUGUACACUAAUCAUGAAACUGAGUAAGCUUAAGAAGAACUGUUACCUUGAGCUUGAUCUAAGUCAGUGGGGAAAAGGUGAGGCUACUUGGUAUGCAUAUCUACUUCUUCUUCCCAAGUAGCUCCCUCUGCAGGCUGAUUUCACUAAAGAACUUUAACUAACUAGAGGGACUUCUUUGUUCCUCAAUCUACGGGCCUAAUAGUCUAGGAUUUCAAUUGGAAUCUCUUCAUAAGAGAGGUUGUUCUAAACCUCAAUGCUCUGAAUAGAGACUAUGACUGAUGGGUCACCUAUACACUUUUUGAGCAAAGAUACAGGAAAGACUAGAUGAACUGAGGCUAGAUAUAAAGGUAUUUCGAGCUCAUAAGCUACCUUGCCGAAAUGACAAGAAUCUUGAAGGGAUCAAUAUAUCGGGGACUGAGUUUUUCCUUCUUGCUGAAUCACUUCACUUCCUUCAUAGGAGAGAUAUUAAGGUAGACAUAGUCACCAAUCUCAAACUCGAGAUAUUUUCUAUGAACAUCUGCAUAAGACUUCUAUCAGCUCUGAGCAGCCCAGAGUCUUUCUCUGAUCAACUGGAUUUUCCCUAAGGCGUCGAAUACCAAGUCAGGCCCCUGACUGAGGCCUCACUAACUUCAAACCAACCAAUAAGAGAUCUAUAUCUCCUACCAUAGAAAGCUUCGAAUGGAGCCAUCUGAAUACUAGAAUGAUAGCUAUUAUUGUAUGCAAACCCAAUCAAAGGCAAGUGGUCAUCCCAACUACCUUUGAAAUUAAUUUCACACGCCCUUAGCAUAUCUUCUAGAGUCUGAAUGGUCCUUUCUUCUUGGCCAUCUGUCUAACAAUAAAAGGCUGUACUAAGAUGAACUUGGGCACCAAGACCCUUUUGGAAUGCUUUUCAAAAAUGAGAGGUGAACUGGGUACCUCUGUCUGAGAUAAUUGACAACGGAACACCAUACAAUCUGACUAGAUCCUUGAUAUAAAGCUUGGCAUAAUCCUUGGCUAAAUAAAAGGUAUGAACUGGAAGGAAAAGAGCUGAUUUGGACAUUCUAUCUACAAUGACCCAGAUUGAAUGAUGCUGAGGACAAGCUCGAGGCAAACCCGUCACAAGUCAAUGUUCACAACUUCCCACUUCCAAGUAGGAAUACUGAACUCCUGCAUAGGACCACUAGGCUUCUGAUGCUCUAUCUUAACUUGCUGACAUAUAGAGCACUUAGCCACAAACUCUGCAAUAUCUCUUUUCAUCCUACUCCACCAAUAGAUUUCCCAUAAAUCGCAGUACAUCUUAGUGGCCCCUAGAUAAUAGAGUAACGCACACCAUGCACUUCUAUAAAAAUUCUCUACCUUAUGUCAUCUACGCUUGGAACACAGAGACAACCCUGACAACGAAAGACGCCAUCUCCUCCUUGGGAGAAAACCUCUAUUUUUCAGAUUCUAAGCUGACUCUUUUAGCUUGACAAGGCUAAGAUCCUUAUCUUGCUUUUCUUUUACCUCAAAAACUAGAGAUGAUUUUGAACUACUCUGAACACAUACACCACCCUCUGAAGAAUCGACUAAGCGAAUGCCUAGUCUAAUAAGCUGGUGUACUUCUUGAGAUAACUUCUUAUUACUAUCCUCAACAUGAGAAACACUACCCAUAGAGAGUCUACUGAGAGAGUCAGCCACUACAUUGGCCUUGCUUGGAUGAUAGAAGACACUUAUGUCAUAAUCUUUUAAGAGCUCUAACCACCUUCUCAGAUGAAGAUUGAAAUCUUUUUGAGAAAAGAUAUACUGAAGGGUCUUAUGAUCUGUGAAGAAAUCCACAUGAACUCCGUAGAGAUAAUGCCUCCAAAUCUUUAAAGCAAAUACUACGGUUGCUAACUCAAGGUCAUGAGUAGGAUAAUUCUUCUCAUGGGGUUUAAGCUAUCUGGAGGCGUAGUCUAUGACCUUACCAUGUUGCAUGAGGACACAACCAAAACCCACUCUAGAUGUAUCACAAUAUACUACAAAACCAUCUGAACCAUCUGGUAAUGCUAGAACUGGAGAUGAGGUGAGUCGAAUCUUUAAUUCUUGAAAACUCUUAUCGCAUGGAUCUGGCCACUGAAACUGUAACAUCCGAUUUGUUGAACCAGAAUGCUACACAGUUCUCAUGACCCCGAGGGACCACAAGCUAACCUAUGACUGAUAUCUGUACCUGUAUACUGCAAAUCAUAAUAUAAUAAUACGGAAUACAUAAAACUUUAAGGCCAUAAGGUUCAACUGAAUACAAUCAUGUGGGUGAAAAUACCAAAAACAACUAAAUCUGGAUGUAAAUCUGAAAGUAAAUCCAAAAGCCUCUAAACUGUCUGAAUAAAGAGUUGAAGGAACAUAUCUCCAACUAACUCCGUAAAACUAAACUGAAAAUAAAUAAAUGAAUCAAAUCAUAUUGUUCUCGAAUCAAUAAGAACUCACUGUGUCUCUGAGACUAGAACACUACCACUACUGUUGGGCUGGAGCUUGUGUCUCGAAACCUAUGGUGUAACAUUAAAAGAAAGCACCAUAGCGCAAAUACAUCAGUACAACUGGAGUACUGAGUAUACGAGGAAGGUAGGCUAAACAUAAAGGGUUUCAUACAUUAACAACACAGACUGAAUAAUAUGAAUGUGGGAGUGCAAACACACAUAUAUAGAAACUGGGACCAUGAAUACGUGAUAGCAUGACCUGUAAGCUAAUACAUGGUUUACUGAUAGCUGUUAUGACUGAUACUGAAACUGAUAACAUGAAUGACUGUAUCUGACAGUCCUGUAUAUACUGAAAUCUGAAGAAUGCCCUGAGUUCUUUUACUAAGACUGAUACUAAAACUGAUAACAUGAAUGACUGUAUCUGACAGCCCUGUAUACACUAAAAUCUGAAGAACGCCCUAAGUUCUUUUACUGAGACUGUUACUGAAACUCUGGGAAGUAGUAUUUAACCGACAUGCCCCGUGUAUGCCGUUAUGGCUAAGCUGGAGUCCAAUCUCUACCCCGACUGGAGGGGUGUCAAUACCACACCACUAUUAAGGACAGCUGUGAGUGACCCUUAUCUGACGGGUACUCAAUGAGAACGGUGGGAACCCUAAACUGAUGGGUUAAGCCACUUCAUCAAUCCUAAGCUAUGGGUUAAGAUAUCUUAACCUACGCUGGCUACGUAGUUCUGGAACACAAGGAUUGCUACUAAGAAUCACACCCUAAACUAGCGGGUGAGUUCCCAUCCUUGGGUUCACUCGGUGCUAACCUCUACUCCGAUUUGAAGGACACUGAACUGAAUAACUAAGCUGAACUGAAUAACUGAAAUGAACUAAUUAGCUGAACUGAUGCUAAUUAACUGGACUGAUACUAGUAUUAUUGUUUAGCAGAGCUAAACUAAGUUUACUGGAUUCCAACGACUGACGGAAUAUUACUAAUAUCUGACAACUGACUAAGAUCAUGAGAUUUUUCUGAGUCACAUGACUGACUGAAGUCUAUUUUAUCAUACUUGAGUUUGGAUAUCAUGAAACAUGACAUGGAUCUAGGCACACAGCUAUAGUUUUCGGGUACAAGUACCCCCAAGACUCAAUGGAAGGAAACUGACACACAUGACUGACUUGAUCAUAAGAGUCGAGUCCAUAAUUUAUAAUAUCAUAAGUAGGUAUCUCAUACUAAGCAUCGUUAUCAAUAAUGUAUUGCAUGGAAAGGAUUUCAUAUCACAUGGAAGUACUUGCACAAUCUUAAUAUCAUGUUCGUUGCAUAAUCAUAUUGGCAACACAUGCUAAUAGCAUGGAAAUUCAUGUGGAUUGCAUGGUUAUCAUACAUCUUGUUCAUAAGUAGGAUUUGCAAGUAAACAUAGCAUAAUCUCAUAAGAAUAGUUCAUGAGUAUUCCAACAACAUGUACAAGGCACAUUAUCAAUCAUAGAAGUCAUUGGAAAGUAAGGGCAUAUCAUGAAUCCUUCACUUAGUCACAAUUUAGCUAUAUUGCAUGAUUUCUAAUUUUGUAGGCAUUUUAUCAAACACCUUACAUGCACAUCUUAAGCAUAGGUGAAUUCAUCAAAUUAUAUAUCAUGAACAACCAAAUUUACAUGUUUCCAACUCAUAUGAUAUCAUGAAUUCACAAAAACAUAUAAAGAUUUCAUCUUGGGAAUCACCCAAUAUUAACAACAUGAUCAUCAAUACCCAACAAUAUAGAAAUCAUACUUUUAUAAUGAAAAAAGAGGAAAACAAACAAGCAUUAACAUAGGUAUGAUCAUAUCACCACAAUCAACCAAUCUUUUGUAUUUUAAAGAUUGAUUAUUGAACUCCACGUAUAAAAGAAAUCCGUGGAUGAACACUACGCAUACCUUAGAAGGAAGAUUCUUGAUGAUUGACAGAGGAAUUUCCUUGAAAUCGGAUCUUCAAGCUUAAUUAUGCAACCCUAGUUAUUUUUCUCCUUUAGUGCUCUUGGAUGAUGAUGGAUCUCCUGAGCCAUAUUUUUCUUACAAUCCUCAACGUGAGAAAUACUACCCAUGGAGAGUCGACUGAGAGCGUCGGCCACAACAUUGGCCUUGCCCAGAUGAUAAAGAACACUCAUGUCGUAAUCCUUCAAGAGCUCUAACCACCUUCUCUGGUGAAGAUUGAGAUCUUUCUGGGAAAAGACAUACUGGAGGCUCUUAUGUUCUGUGAAGACAUCUACAUGAACUCCAUAGAGAUAAUUCCUCCAAAUCUUCAAGGCAAAAACUACCGCUGCUAACUUAAGAUCAUGAGUACGAUAAUUCUUCUCAUGUGGCUUUAACUGUCUGAAGGCAUAGGUUAUGACCUUACCAUACUGCAUGAGGACAUAACCUAAACCCACUCUGGAUGCAUCAGAAUAGACUACAAAACCAUCUGAACCAUCUGGAAUAGCUAGAACUGGAGCAGAGGUGUGUCGAGUCUUCAACUCUUGAAAGCUCUUCUCGCAUGAAUCUGACCACUAAAAAUUAAUCUUCUUCUAAGUCAAUCUGGACAUGAGAUAUGCAAUAGACGAAAAUUCCUCAAAAAAACAUCUGUAAUAGCCAUCCAAACCCAAGAAACUCCUAAUAUCUGAUGGAGAUACGGGUCUGGGCCAAUUUUUUACUGCCUUGGUUUUCUGAGGAUCUACUCUAAUGCCACCACCAGAAAUAAUAUGGCCAAGAAAUAAUACUGAUCUUAGCCAAAAUUUGCACUUGCUAAACUUAGCGAAUAACUGGUGAUCCCUGAGAGUCUGAAGAACAAUCCUGAGAUGGUCUGCAUGAUUAUGCUCUGUGCGAGAAUAGACCAGAGUAUCAUCUAUAAAGACUAUGACAAACAUGUCCAGGUGCUGCUUGAACACACGGAUCAUCAAAUCCAUAAAAGCUACUGGGGCAUUGGUAAGACCAAAUAACAUGACUAAAAAUUCAAAGUGACCAUACCGAGUACGGAAAGCUGUACUUGGAAUGUCACAUUCUCUAACUCUGAGCUAAUGAUAGCCUGAUCUGAUGUCUAUCUUGGAGAAGUAACUAGCACCCUGAAUUUGGUCGAACAGAUCAUAAAUCCUGGGAAGAGGAUAUCUAUUCUUGACCGUGACCUUGUUGAGUUGACGAUAAUCAAUACACAUCCUGAGAGAACCAUCUUUCUUGUACACGAAUAAUAUUGGCGCACCCCAUGGGGAAACAUUGGGUAUGAUAAAUCCUUUAUCUAAGAGAUCCUUCAACUGAUCUUUCAGUUUCUUGAGUUCUGCUGGUGCCAUUCUGUAUGGCAGAAUAGAAAUAGGUUGAGUAUCCGGAAGAAGGUCUAUGCCGAAGUCUAUUUCCCUUUCGGGAGGAAUGCCUGGAAGAUCUUCGGGAAAGAUAUCGGAGUAUUCAUUAACAAUAGGGACUAUUUUAAGGCUGGGAUAUUCAGAACUAAAAUCUUUAACAUGCAUGAGAUGAUACACACACCCCUUAGAAAUUAUUUUCCUUGCCCGAAGGUAGGAAAUAAGUUGACCCCUGAACGCUGAAAUGCUACCCUUCCACUCUAGGACGGGCUUAUUUGGGAACUGAAACUAAACAAUCCUAUUUAUGCAGUCGNNNNNNNNNNNNNNNNNCAAUCCAUGUCGAGAAUGACAUCAAAAUCAGUCAUCUCUAAGAAUGACAUCAAAAUCAGUCAUCUCUAACUCCACUAAAUCUGCUGACGUGGAUUUCUAAGAUAUCAUAACUGGGUAGUUCCUGUAUACCCGCUGAGCUAUGAUGGUUUUACCUACUGGGGUAGAGACUGAGAAGGGCUCUACUAGGACUUCAGGACUGAUUUCGAAAUCGCUUGCUAUGUAUGGAGUAACAAAAGACAAAGAUGCACAUGGGUCUAGCAAAGCAUAAACAUGAACAUGGAAAAUCUAUAAUGUACCAGUAACGGCAUCAGGAGAAUUUUCCUGAUCCUGCUAGGACUGAAGAGCAUAGAGUCUAUUUGGGUGUUGCCCACUAGUAGCACUGGAAAUGGCACCCUGCUGGUUCGGGCGACUGGACUAAGCUGUAGAAUGAUUUUGCUAACCCUAAAAACUUGACUGCAGACACUCCCGAAUCCUGUGGCCUGGCUUACCACAACAAAAAUAGACAUCACUACCAGCUCUGCAAAUGCCGUUGUGGUUCUUACCACAAGUCUGACAAAGGGGAUUCGUUUGGGCACUGCUAACACUGCCCUAAGAUUUAGAGCCUGGCGCUUUAUUUCUAUUGCUGUCUCUAAACUUUAGCACUAGAGCGCUGGCAUAGGAAGGAGCUGGAAUGGCUAACUUAGAGCAAAACUGUGAACGGUUUUCUCCAUCUGACUUGGGGUGAGCAAAGUUAAAAUUACCUGACCUUGUUCUCUUAUUCUGCCUCUCCCUAGUCUUAAACUUCUGCUCUUCUACUUCCUGGGCAUGGGUCAUGAUUCUUGCUAAGGUCAUAUCACCGAUCAGCAUCUCAGACCUACACUCAUUUACCAUGCUAUCAUUGACCCCUAACACGAACUUGCUCAUCUUAGCUUUAUUUUCUGCAACCACAUGAGAAGCAUACCUGGCUAGCUGAGUAAAUCUGAGAGAAUACUCCCUAACCAUCAUAUUCCCCUGCCUGAGGUUGAUGAACUCAAGAACUUUGGCUUUCCGCAGCUCUUGGGGAAAGAAUCUGUUUAAGAAGGCCAUGAUAAAUUCCUCCCACUCGAUAGGGCCUGUAUCAUCUAACCUCUCAGACUUUCACUGUUUGUACCAAUUAUGGGUAACAUCCUGUAACUGGUAGGCGGCUAACUCAGCACUCUCAAUAGAACUAACACCCAUGAUGUCAAUGACCUUCUGGACUUGGUCAAUGAACUCUUGAGGGUCCUCACCAGACGUAAACCCAUAGAAAGAUGGAGGAUUCAUCCGGAUGAAGUCUCGAACCCUAGCUACUUUGGGAGUAGCCACUGGAUUGGUCGGAAUGACUGGUGGCCAUUCGUUCUGUGCAGCCAUGGACUGAGCAAGUGUGGUAAAUACGGCUCUAAACUCUGCAUGGGAAACAUGUUUGCCCAAAGGAUCUUCGAGCUGAGGAGCUGGCAAGUUUCUUCUCUUUGGGGGCCAUGGUCUGGAAUAAAAGAAGAAUGGAUUAGACUGAGAGUUUAACUUAUGAUUAUGCUCACUAGCAUGACAUGAAUAAUGAAGAAAGGGGAUUGUUCCUAAAACAUCUUAUAGCUUCCCGCACAUAAAUGUGGCACGCAACACACCCAUGUAUAAGACUAUGCUAGAUGUGGCUUUCAGACUUCCUAGGACUCUAUUAAACUUUAGGCUCUGAUACUAAGUUUGUAACACCCCAAUUUGCUGAACUGGAAUGCUACACGGUGCUUAUGACCCUGAGGGACCACAAGCUAACCCAUGACUGAUAUCUGUACCUGUAUACGGCAAAUCAUAAUAUAAUAAUACGAAAUACAUGGAACUGUAAGGCCAUAAGUUUCAACUGAAUACAAUCAUGUGGGAGAAAAUACCCAAAACAACUAAAUCUGGACGUAAAUCCGAAAGCCUCUAAACUGUCUAAAUAAGGAGUUGAAGGAACAUGUCUCCAACUAACUCUAUAAAAUUGAACUGAAGAAUAAAUAAAUGAAUCAAAUAAUAUUAUAUUCGAAUCAAUGUGGACUCACUGUGUCUCUGAGACUGAAAUGCUACCGCUACUAUUGGGCUGGAGCUCGUGUCUCGGAACCUAUAAUGUAACAUGAAAAGAAAGCACCAUAGCAUAAAUGCAUCAGUACAACUAAAGUAGUGAGUAUACGAGGAAGGUAGGCUGAACAUAAAGGGUUUCAUGCAUGAAAAACACUGACUGACUAAUAUGAACGUGGGAGUGCAAACACACAUAUAUAGAAACUGGGAUCGUGAAUAUGUGAUAGCAUGACCUGUAAGCUAAUACAUGGUUUACUGAUAGCUAUCAUGACUGAUACUAAAACUGUUAACAUAAACAAUUGUAUCUGACAGUCCUGUAUAUACUAAAAUCUGAAGAACGCCCUGAGUUCUUUUACUAAGAUUGAUAGUGAAACUGAUAACAUGGAUGACUGUACUGAUAGUCCUGUAUAUACUGAAAUCUGAAUAACGCUCUGAGUUCUUUUACUGAGACUGUUACUGAAACUACGGUAAGUAGUGUUUAACUGACGUGCCCCGUGUAUGCCGUUAUGGCUAAGCUGGGGUCCAAUCUCUACCCCGACUGGAGGGGUGUCAAUACCGUGCCACUGGUAAGGACAACUGUGAGUGACCCUUAUCUGGAGGGUACUCAAUGAGAAUGGUGGGAAGCCUAAACUGACGGGUUAAGCCACCUCAUCAACCCUAAGAUGACGGGUUAAGAUAUCUCAACCUACACUAGCUACGUAGUUCUGGAACACAAGAAUUGCUACUAAGAAUCACACCUUAAACUGGCGGGUGAGUUCCCAUCCUUGGGUUCACUCGGUGCUAACCUCUACUCCCAUCUGAAGGACACUGAACUNNNNNNNNNNNNNNNNNNNNNNNNNNNNNNNNNNNNNNNNNNNNNNNNNNNNNNNNNNNNNNNNNNNNNNNNNNNNNNNNNNNNNNNNNNNNNNNNNNNNNNNNNNNNNNNNNNNNNNNNNNNNNNNNNNNNNNNNNNNNNNNNNNNNNNNNNNNNNNNNNNNNNNNNNNNNNNNNNNNNNNNNNNNNNNNNNNNNNNNNNNNNNNNNNNNNNNNNNNNNNNNNNNNNNNNNNNNNNNNNNNNNNNNNNNNNNNNNNNNNNNNNNNNNNNNNNNNNNNNNNNNNNNNNNNNNNNNNNNNNNNNNNNNNNNNNNNNNNNNNNNNNNNNNNNNNNNNNNNNNNNNNNNNNNNNNNNNNNNNNNNNNNNNNNNNNNNNNNNNNNNNNNNNNNNNNNNNNNNNNNNNNNNNNNNNNNNNNNNNNNNNNNNNNNNNNNNNNNNNNNNNNNNNGCUACUGAAUAAUUUGCACUUAUUAUAAAUUUGAAUUUUUGAUAUAUUAGAUUUCCUUUUACGGCAGUUAUUAUGCUUUUUUCUAUAGGUUUAUAAUUCUAUCAUCUUCUAAAUAUAAUUCUAUUGGUGUAUUUAUUCUAUACAUCAUGAACAGCGAAAUUUACAUGUUUCCAACUCAUAUGAUAUCAUGAAUUCACAAAAAUAUAUAAAGAUUCCAUCUUGGGAAUCACCCAAUAUCAACAACAUGAUCAUCAACACCCAACAAUAUAGAAAUCAUACUUUUAUAACGAAAAAGAGGAAAAAAACAAGCAUCAACAUGGGUAUGAUCAUAUCACCACAAUCAACCAAGCUUUUGUAUUUUAAAGAUUGAUUCUUGAACUCCACGGACGAAGGGAAUCCAUGGAUGAACACUACGCAUACCUUAGAAGGAAGAUUCUUGAUGAUUGAUGGAGGAAUUUCCUUGAAAUCGGAUCUUCAAGCUUAAUUAUGCAACCCUAGUUGUUUUUCUCCUUUAGUGCUCUUGGAUGAUGAGCUUUGAGAUGAAAAUAGGGUUGCAGUAUGUUUAGAAGAUAUAUAUUUCGUAGGGUUAAGUUUAGGGACGUGUAAGGAGUAUUUAAAGACUUAAUUACUUUUAAAAUAACUCAAGACAGAGUAGACUUGAAAAUGGUUAAGUGUAGUCACUUGAAAUGUUAAUUAGUGACUUGAAAAUGGUUUGGUGUAGUUACUUGAAAGGUGAAAUUGUGACAUAAAAAUGAUCAAUUGUAUUAUUUUAAAAUGUUAAUUAGUUACUUCAAAAUGAUUUAGUGUAGUCACUUGAGAAGUGAAUUAGUGACUUGAAAAUGGUUUAGUGUAGUUACUUGAAAGGUUAACUUGUAUUUUGAAAUUUGAUAAGUGUAAUCACUUAAAAAUUUGAAUAUAUGACGUGAAAAUGGUUUAGUGUUGUCACUUGAAAUGUGAAUUCAUGACUUGAAAAUGAUUAAGUGUAGUCACUUGAAAUGUGAAUUAGUGACUUGAAAAUAAUCAUGUAUUUUGAAAUGUUAAUUUGGUACUUCAAAAUGAUCAAGCAUAGUCACUUGAGAAGUGAAUUAGUGACUUGAAAAUAGUUUAGUGUAGUUACUUGAAAGGUGAACUUGUGUUUUGAAAUUAGUUUAAGUGUAAUCACUUAAAAAUGUGACUUCAUGACUUGAAAAUAGUUUAGUGUUGUCAUCGAGAAGUGAAUUCAUGACUUGAAAAUGGUUAUGUGUAGUCACUUGAAAUGUGAAUUAGUGACUUGAAAAUGAUUUGGUGUAGUUACUUGAAAGGUGAACUUGUGACUUGAAAAUGAUCAAGUGUAUUGUCUUGAAAUGUUAAUUAGUUACUUCUAAAUUAUCAAGUGUAGUCACUUGAAAAGUGAAUUAGUGACUUGAAAAUGGUUUAGUGUAGUUACUUGAAAGGUUAACUUGUGUUUUGAAAUUCUGUAAGUGUAAUCACUUAAAAAUUUGAAUAUAUGACGUGAAAAUGGUUUAGUGUUGUGACUUGAAAUGUGAAUUCAUGACUUAAAAAUGGUUAAAUGUAGUCACUUGAAAUGUGAAUUAGGGAAUUGAAAAUGGUUUAGUGUAGAUAAUUGAAAGGUGAACUUGUGACUUGAAAAUGAUCAAGUGUAGUGUUUUGAGAUAUUAAUUAGUUACUUCAAAAUGAUCAAGUGUAGUCACUUGAGAGGUGAAUUAUUGACUUAAAAAUGGUUUAGUAUAGUUAUUGAAAUGGUUAACUUGUGUUUUGAAAUUAGCAAAGUGUAAUCACUUGAAAAUGUGAAUUCAUGACUUGAAAAUGGUUUAGUGUUGUCACUUGAAUUGUGAAUUCAUGGUUAUGUGUAGUCAGUUGAAAUGUGAAUUAGAGACUUGAAACUGAUUUAGUCAUUUAAAAUAUGAAUUUGUGACUUGAAAAUGAUCAAGUGUAGUCACUUGAAAUAUUUACUUGUGACCUAAGCUAAUUAAGAUUGUGAUUGAUUAUAUAGAUGGAACCUGAUUAUAGCUGGAUAUAUCUACAAAAUAAUGAUAAUUGAGUGGAUUUUAUGAAGGAAUUUGUUUAAGUGUUAAAUCGAUUUAUUGAACAUGCCAAGACACUUGAUGAUUGGUCCUUUUUUUAGGUGAUUCAUUGUCCUUAUGUAAAAUGUGAUGGUACAAACAUUCUAAAGAAGAAGCUGUGAAGGAUCAUCUUUAUAGAAAAGGGUUUCAUUAGGACUUUUUAAGAUUGUACACUAGUCAUGGAGAAGUUGGGAAAAUAACUUUGUUGUUGGUGAAAGUAGUAGGUCUGCAGGGUGUAAUAACUAUCAAGCCACUAGGAUAACAGAAAUGGUGUAUGAUGCUUUUGGGAUGAAACAAGGGGUUGAAUUUAGGGAAAAUGUCAAAGAUAUUCCCAAUAAAGAAACAUGCCAUUUUUAUGAAUAAUUGCAUUCUGUCAGUCAUCCUUUGUUUGAUAGGUGUUAUCACUCUCAAUUCUCUGUUGCUGUUAGGUUAUUAAGUAUCAGAUUUGAUUAGAAUAUUACUGAAGGGGGAAUGGACUCUAUGAUAUACCUUAUUAAAGAGUUAGUUGACCCCACUUUAGAGGUUCCUAAUUUUUUCUAUAAGGCAAAAAGAAUGGUGUCAAAGUUAGGUCUCUACUUGAUUAGUAUUGAUUGUUGUGAAAAUAAUUGCAUGUUAUACUUUACGAAAGAUACUAAACUAGAUUCUUGUAAGUUUUAUAAACACCCUUGCUAUUAGUGUGGUUGUUGUGGAAAUAAAAUUGCUAUUAAGGUGAAGCAUUAAUCACCUCUUAUACCAAGGUUGAAGAGGUUGUAUGGAUCAAACAACUCAACUCCUCAUAUGAGAUGGCAAAGUGAAAAUAGAAGGCCCCUGGUGUUAUGUGUCAUCCAUCUGAUGGAGAGGCUUGGAAGCAUUUUGAUGCAAAUUAUCCAGAUUUUGCAGCUGAGCCAUGAAAUAUUUGAUUGGGAUUAUGUGCGGAUGAUUUCUCACUUUUUUCUGUUGGUGUUGCACCAUAUUCAUGUUGGCUUAUAUUUAUCACCUCGUAUAAUCUUCCUCCUGAAAUAUUGAUGACUAGUCCAUAUAUAUUUCUGAAUUGUAUUGUUCCUAGCCCACGUAAUCCAAAAAAUGGAAUAGAUGUUUACUUGCAGCCUUUGAUUAAUAAGUUGCAAUUGCUAUGGAAUAAAGAGGUUAAAACUUGGGACAUUUUAUUUAAAUAGAACUUCAAUUUGCGUGCCUAUCUAAUGUGGACUAUUAAUGAUUUUCCUACUUAUGAAAUGUUGUUUAGGUGGAUGACAGCUGGAAAGUUAGCUUGUUCAUACUGUAUGAAAAAUACAAAAUCUUUCACAUUGACACAUGGCAGGAAAAAUUAAUGGCUUGAUUGCCACCGUUGUUUCUUGCCACUUAAUCAUGAGUUUAGGAGACUCAAAAAUGUAUUUAGAAAUAAUUGAACUGAACAUGAUGGUCCACCUCCAAUAUUAUCUGGUCAUGACAUUUGGGAGAGAGUUUCCAAAAGUUAGCAAGGAACCAUUGUAUAAGUUUCAUUUCACAUAAUUGGACUAAGCAAAGUAUAUUUUGGGAGUUAGAAUAUUGGCCAGAUAAUUUACUUAGACAUAAUAUUGAUGUCAUGCAUACUGAAAAGAACUACUUUGAUAAAAUGUUCAAUACAGCUAUGAAUGUUAUCGGUAAGACAAAGGACAAUUCUAAGGCUAGGCUUGAUUUACCAAAAUAUUGCAAGCCCGGGGAAUUACACUUACAAGAGGGGCCCAAUGGCAAUUUGCUUAAGGUCAAGGCUAGUUGUACAUUCAAGUUGGACCAAAAGAGAAAGCUAUGUGAGCGAGUACAAAGUUUAAAGAUUUCCAAUGGAUAUGCCUCAAAUUUGGGAAAGAGGGUUGAUAUGGUACAAGGAAUCUUACAUGGAAUGAAAAGCAUAAUUGCCAUGUUUUCAUGGAACAAUUAAUUCCAAUAGCUUUUAUUGGUUUGCCUGAAAACAUUUGGAAACCGAUAACAGAGACCAGUUUGUUCUUCAAAGACUUAUGUUCCACUACCUUAAAGGAAGAAAUCUGGCUCGAAUGGAAAGUAAUAUUGUUAUUAUCACCAAUAAAUUAGAGAAGAUUUUUCCACCUGGGUUCUUCGACAUGAUGGAACAUCUUCCUAUUCACCUUGUCCAUAAAGCCCGACUUAGCGAUCCAGUUCAAACUAGGUGGAUGUAUCCAAGCGAGCGGUAAGCAAUUGCAACAUAUUUAAUUUAUUAAUUAAUUAUUUAAAUACACACACACACACACACAUAUAUAUAUAUAGUAAACACCUAAUCUUAAAGUUAUAUAGGACAAUUGAAAAAUUAAAAAGAGGUCCUAAAAAUAAAUAUAGGGUGAAAGGCUUUAUAGUUGAAGGAUAUCUUGUGAGAGAAAUAUCCCAAUUUUGCUCAUACUACUUUGAUGAUCAAGUUUCUUAUUUAAGAAGUAGACCGAAUCAACACUAGGACGAUGAGAAUAAUCCAUAUUUGCAACCAAUAUUAAUUUUCAAUCAAUCUGGUAGUAAGGCAAAAAAGACCAAAUUUCGUCAACUCACCACUAUGGAGCACAAAUCAUCAACUUUGUAUGUCUUGCUAAAUUGCUUGGAAGUUGAGACCUUUCUAAAGUAAGCAUAUUCAACAUUUACUAUCAAAUUUAAUUGCUCAUUUCACCUAGGAAACUAAUUGUGUUUCACAUGAGGGAUCUUCAACUUAUUUAAGACUCAAUUCUACCAAAAUCAAGUGCAUGAAUCCUUUGCAACAUGGUUUACAUAUCAGGUGUGUAAGUUUAAUAAUAAUACAAAAAUUUUAAAUGUUUAUUAUAUAUGAUUCACCAUAUUUUAAAUGUAUACAUAUAUAUAUAUAUAUAUAUAUAUUUAUAUAUAUGUAUUGAUCGUAUGUGUCCUCAUUUUUUUGGGACCAGUUGAAGUUCAUACAAGUUCCUAUUACACAAUAAAUGAAUUUAAAUUUUCCACCAAAGAGCACUCUAAAACAAGAAAACAAAUAAUAGUGGUGUUUGGAUUAAGGGUGAUGAUGAUGUUGAUUACUUUGGCAUCAUACAAGAGAUCUAAGAAAUGGAGUAUGUUGUUGGCUGAUACAAAAUAGUACUCUUUUUAUGUAAGUGUUGAUCCAAGCACAAGAGGCACAAGAGUACUUAAGGAGUAUAACAUCAUUGAAGUUAAGCACAGUAGGACGUAUCCUGUUUAUGAUCCUUUUGUUCUCGCACAAAAUGCGAAAUAAGUGUACUAUGCUUCUUAUCCGUUGUGCUGAGAUAAGUCUGAUUGAUGGGCUGUAAUCAAAAUGAAGCCUAUGGGGUGAGUGGAAGUUUAGAAUGUAUUGAUACUGCAUAUCAGAAAGAUAUAUAUAGACUGAUCACCAGGAAAUGGUUUAGUGGAGAAUUUUCGAGAGAGGAGGAUUAGUUUUUGUAGGUUGUAUUUAUUAUUCAUUGAUGUAUUUAUGCUUUGUACUAUUUACUUUUUAUAUUUCUUAUUUAAAAUUGAUAUGUAAUAGCCUGAGUAAGAUUGAUUAUGUGGGAUUUUGCACAAGUUCAAUGACAAUUUGAGGAAUUAACUCGGAAAAGAAAAAUGGUGGAAAAUGCAUUAAUUGUGAGCAGUACCUUAGCAUUUAUGGCAUAGAAUUUUUAGUUUAUCUUGCAGGAACUUUUAGUUUAACUUGUCAUUUUUCUUACAUCUUAUCACUCUUUUGUCACUUUUCCAUUUUUUAUAUAGUAAAGUUAUAAAUAUUUUUGUCCUUCUCGUGUUGCUCGAGCGAGUCUUAACUUGCUAUGGUUAUGUAACUAUUUUGUUGGUGUUUUAAUACAAAUUUAGUGACUUGAAUAUGAAUUAGGAACUUGAAAAUGGUUAAGUGUAGUUACUUGAAAUGUUAAUCAGUGACUUAAAAAUAGUUAAGGGUAGUUACUUGAAAUGUAUACUAAUGACUUGAAAUUUGAUGUGUUCUUUUUACAACAAAUUUUCCUUUUCAAUAAGAUUCUAAAGCGGUCAUUUUCUUAUAUUCAUUUUGUAAAGACUAACUAUUUUUUAAAUUUAAAUGAUUUAGAUGGGAGGUAAAGAUGAAAAAGGUAAGAAAAAAGUUGAUCCUACUAAGACAAAAUCAAAAAAAACUACCUCCACCUUGUAAACGACCAACAGGGAUUCAUAUAUCUAUGGGUCAGUCAGAUGACGUGCCGACACGACCCUCUUAUUCUAGGUCAUCGCAUUAUUCAGUUAAUGCUCCUACGCAUGUGGGUCUACUUUAUUACUCUAGAGACUCAAUCCAACCCUAUCGCCAUGCCACCGCCGUCACAAUACUACCAGACGAUUGCUGACACAUACAGUCAUCUACUAUCGUUUGCCCUACCUUCUACUAGUAGUCACCCACAUACUCAUAAUGAUUCUGCUGGAUCUAUUGGGUUGACUGAUAUUCAUCUUAGAGGCACACAAUCCAGUGCUUCAGAUACACCCUCGAUAGUGCAUUCAGGAGCACUUGCUCCGCAACCAGGACAGAAAGAUGCUAGUCUGAGGAGUAUAUUAUUCCAUAUGGAGCAGGGUAAGAUUUCUAAAUAUAACUACACUAUUUAUUUUUCAUCUACUAUAUUAUUAUGCUAUAUAAGAUUAAUGAUUGUUAUUGUAUUGUAGUUUUAUGCCCGAUGAUAGAAUUGCAAAAUUACGGGUAAAUGCAUUCAUCGAAACUUCAAAGGUUAUUGGACGAGUUGACAGAAGGUUCCAGAACUUUGUAAAGAGGAGAUGCUCAAAGAAUUUCAUGUAAAGAUUUAACUUAUCAACUACUUAAUACAUUGUUAGAACAAAAAAUUGAAUAUUAAAUUAUUGUUUUUUAUGUAGAAAUAUUUUUGGUUUGAUCCUAUGGAUUACUUUGCUAUACAGAAGAAUUUUUUCUGAAAGACCAAGACUAAGAAUGAAAGGUCUAUUGGAUUAUGCAAGAAAUAAGAGGAGACAACCAAUUUUUAUAAUUGAUAGACUGUAGGAAGUCUUUAUUCGCUAUUGGAAUAGUGACGAAUUUCAUGUUGAGUAAAAAAAAAAAGUCAGGGCAUCUACCGAAGGUGACUCUCUACAUACUGCAAGAGCUGUUACAAAUUACUGUCGAGGAAAAAAAUGGUAUGUAAAUUUUAUGGAUUUAAUUAUUUAUUUCUAUUUUAACUAUUUUUUAUUUUGAAGAUUAAUAAUUUUAUCAUAUGCAACAACAAAAAUUGGGUAGGAAGGUAGGUUUACAAAAGGUAUUCGAGGAGACCCACAUAAAAAGGAAAAAGAACCCAACAGAUGAAGAUGUAUAGACUGAGCCACGUGCAAAAGCUACCCAUGUAAGAAUUACAUUUGUAUUUAUGAAUUCUUUUUCUCAUAGUUGAUAUUAUUUAAGUACGAAUAGUUUAAUAUUUUUUAAUAUUAAUUUUUACUUUACUUUGAAUAGAGGACAAAUAUAUGCAGUUCAUUAAUGAGUUUGAUAGUACUCAGCCUCCUGAAAGUCAAGGAGAAACCAUACCUGAAGAUGUAGAGGAGGAGUACUAGAAAUAAUCUGUGGGUUCUCCAAUUAGAGGCACGCACUAGAGCUACCAUAGAAAAUAUUUUAUAGAGAAUAUUAGGCCUUCGUUCAGUGGAUCAUCCUUUACCUUAUCAGUUGAUAGAGAAACCAUUGAGUUGCUACAAAAUAUGGUUUCUCAACUUAUUAAAAUCUUGCUGCACAGAAUGAGAGAGCGAGGAAGAAAGAGAAGGAAACAACAUCACAUAUGAGAAUGAUGCAUGAGCAGAUCAAUAAUUUUCUUCAAUCUCCAUGAAUUCUUCCUCUGUGUCCUAUUGAUACACCUCAGGCUACGAAAUACCUAGGCCCACUUGAUUAUUAUUACACUACAGAGAAUUCUGAUUCUAUGGAUGAGGAUGGAGAUGAGGAUAACAAGUUGUAGCUUUGUACGUUUUGAUGAUUUGUAAUUUAUUUUUGGAACAUUCAUAAAUUUUGUGUUAGUAAUUUGAUUUUAAUGUUUGUAUUUUGAUGAUGGUUGAUUAGAUGUUAAAUUGGAUUUUGAUGAUAAAUUUGAUUUGUGGGCUAUAUUGUAUAGCAGGUUUGAAAUCAAAUAUAGCAUAUAUAUGUUGUAACUUUUUUUUACAAUAAUACCAGUAAAACCAGCAAAACCAACCAAAAGUGGUCGCUUUUUAAAAUUUUUACCAGAGUAGUUGUGUCACGCCUCAAAUUCUAUUGGGGCGGACUGGCACUCGUAACCGAGGAGGCCCGGGAGAACCAGCUCAUAGCCUUAUACUUCCCAUGCAUACCUCUAUGACAACCCGAAAUUCGGAUAGCAUCAUGUUGCAUAUAAAAGGAAAUAAUCACCUGUAUAAGCUCGAGCACACACAUAUAUAUAUAUAUACAAUACUUGGCCAUUGGAGCCAUCACGUCUAUUAACAAAAUGCCACCUUGACUGUACAUUAGGUCUACAAAGCCUCUAGAUAAUACACAGAGUUUAACUAAGGUCGGGACACACCCCACCAUAUAACUAACUUCUAUACAAUACCAAAAGUGACUGGAUAUGACACGGAUAGCCCCGAAGCAAACUGGAGCUGACCAAAAGCAGCUGGAUAUCCUGGCUCCUACUUGUGCGGUGUAUGAGCUGAGGUACCUGUGCCUGCAGCAUGAAAUGCAGGUCCCCCAUGGGGGACGUCAGUACGAAAUAUGUACUGAGUAUGUAAAGCUGUAGAUAAUCACAUAUGAUAUAGGAGCUCAAUAGAAAUCAGAAACAAGUGAAUAAAUCGUAAUAGGAGUGGACCACACUUACUAGAACUUGUGACAACCUGUACAUUGUAUUUAUUCAAUCACUUUACCUUCGUUCUUAUCGUCUUUGUAAUCAUUACUGUACUGUACUGUGACCAUUAGGAUGCCUCCAGUACAUAUCAACUGGGAUCGACCCAUGCUAGGCUUAUGCCCCUGGGAUACCACCCAUAAACACAUAAAUAGGGAUCGACCCAUGCUAGGCUUAUGCCCCUGGGAUACCACCCGAUAAGAGAGAACUUCCAUCACUUAGUUCAAUUAAUCUUUGAGAUUGUUAUUUCGGUCGCCACCACAUUUUUGAUACUUUGAAACAAUGAUACAUCAAUAGGAACCAAGUAAUAGACCUUCUAUACAAUAACGAUGUAAUAAAGACUCAUUGGUACAUCAACAAUGUGUUUCAGAAUCAUCAAUAUCACAACAAUGAAAUAAGAGCCUUUUGGUAUAUCAAUGAAACAUUUUGACACUUUAUAGAAUGGAAACAACUUCGUUGGUAACGUAGAACAAUACAUGUUUUUGGACAACCUCGGAAUCUUACUUGAUGGAACAUUGGUGUUUUCAUGCCAAAGAACAUUGUUAGAGUAUGCUUUACAUACCUCGUUGUAGAUUCAGCUACCAAUUCAACACAACUUCCCGCCUUUACAAAUCACUUAUCUACAAUGAAAUGUCAACCUUUAAUACUAGUCCCAAAUGGACUUCUCGUCUUUUCGGAUUACUUAUCUACAAUGAACAUAUAUAGCAAUCUAGUAUUAGUGACCAAACGUCACAAUUCAAUUAUUUGAAUUCACCAAACUAGUGGUUAAGUAGUAAGCCUUAAUUACACCAUAAAAGGUGUCACUUUAACCCUCUUAUACUCCAAUUACAUUCACAUGCCAUGCAUAUUCAUACAACAUCCUUCAAUAUUAAGUUUGGAUUCAUUUAUCCUUCCAACUAUUCCAUUAAACCAAAUUGAUCCAUAGACAUAAAUAAUCAUCAAUUAAAUAGUAUAUCACCAUAUCCACCUUCCAUAACUCAAUUACCAUAUCCACCUUCCACAAUUCAAUACAACUAAACCAUGCAAAAUAGUCCAUAACCUUGUUUCCAUCCCCUUUCCAUAACAACCAAUACAUAUAACCCUCUAUCACACAUAUACAUAUGGAAAAGAACAAAGAAAAACAAUAUUCAUACCUUAGAAUUCACCUCUUGAUUACGCAAUCCUGUUUGCAUAAAUAAUAGGUGCUGUUCGAAGAUCUCGAGAAGACAAACGCAGUUAUCGGAUUACUUUGGAAUUUCUACGGUUGAAUCAAAAGUAAUUUAAAGGUCAAAUUUGGCUAGGGUUUGUUCUUUCUCAAUGAUUGAUGAUGAAAAUGAUUUUUGAACUCGUAUACAUGUAUAUAUACACAUAUUCCCGUCCAUAAUAUAAUAGGAAAUGACCAAAAUGCCUUUAAAAUUUAAAUAAUGUCAAAUCUAUCCUUUGGUGGACUGUUUUGAUAAGCUAAAGUAGAUCGACCAUAACUCUUUGCUCCGAUAUCAGAUUUGGGUGAAAUUGGUAUUAUUUCAUAUAACGUAGGCCACCCAGUUCGUCCUGUACAAGGAGUUAUGGUCGUUUGAAGUUGACCCUUAAAAUCUGUUUUGAUAGGCUGAAGUAAAACAAGUAUAACUCCUUAUUCAGACGUUGGAUUUGGAUGAAACCAAUUGCAUUGGAAAGAAGACUCAAAGAUCUUUCUUUUCGUAGGUUGCAGCUCUCCCAGUUCAUUAUAUUAAGGGAGUUAUGAUUGUUUGAAGUUGACCUAAAAAUUCGGCUGGCCUCAGUAGUUUGUGUGCAGGAAAUUUUCCUGCACAUUUACUAUUCCCAAAUAUUCCGGCCACCGUUUUAUAGUUUUGAACGUGCUCGAUUAUAUCCGAACCCUAUCCAUUUUUGGAAAUCUUUAUAUGGUUGGAAAGCUUAUUCAAUAACCUUCGCAUGAAACCAUCGACAGGCAAAUUCCGAUAUAAAUAAAAUAAAAAAAUUAAUUCCAUAUAAAUAAGACCAAUACACAUACUUGAAUACUCCAAUACAUGUACUUGAAUAUGGGGUGUUACAAGUUGGUGCUUUGAAAAUAUUUAUAAAAAUGACCACACAUGGUGAAUAAACAAAACAAAAAAAGAGAGGAAAUUUUAUUAAUUAAAUAAAACUUCUUCAAUCAACUUAUCUUAUACAAAUAGAUACUAUCAUAUAAAAAGAAGAGGUAGUCUGAAUAAAUCAAUGAAGUGAAUUUUUAAAAAACAUAAUCAGAAAAAUGAGAAAAAUGAAAUUUUUGAAAAGAAAAAGACCGCUUUUAUAAAAUUAACUAAUUAUUUUUUGCAAAUGUUUUUGUUAAAAAUAAAUUAUUAAAUAAACAAAAGCGACUAAAAUUAAUUAAUUCUUAAAUAAAAGUGACUACAUGUGGUCGCUUUAGAUAAAGUUAAUUAAUUAAUAUAUAGAAAAGCGACCACAUGUAGUCACUUUUCUAAAAAUUAAUUAUUUAAAUGUGUAUAUACCACUUUUUAAAAAUUAAAUUAAUUAAUUAAAUAAAAGAGACCACUGGUGGUCACUUUUAUUAAAAUUAAUUAUUUAAUUGUAUAUAUAAAAGCGACCACAUAUGGUUGCUUUCUUAUGUUUAUUUAUUUAAUUAAUUUUAAUAAAAGCGGUCACAUGUGAUCCCUUAUUAUAAAUUUAAUUAGUUAAUAUUUAUACAAAAGUGACCACUUGUGGUCGCUUUUGUUAAAAUUAAUUAAUUAAUAUAUAUUUAAAAGCGACCACAUGUGGUCGCUUUCUUAUAUUUAUUAAAUUAAUUUUAUUUAAUAAAGAGACCACACGUGGUCGCUUUUUCAAAUUAAUUAAUUAAUUAUAUAAAAGCGAUCACUUGUGGUCGCUUUCUUUAAAAGAAUUAUCUAAUUAAAUUUUUAAAAGCGAUCACUGGUGGUCUCUUUUUUAAAUUAGAAAAAAAAUGAUAAUUUUUUUAAAAAGAUAAUAUUGAAUUAUCAAUAAUUUUUUCUUUGAAAAAGUAACCACAUGUGGUAUCUUUUAAAAAAACAAUCACUGUUUUUGAGACCACAUCUUUUGGUUGCUUUUGUGGUCGUAAAAACAUGAAAAGCGACCACAUGUGGUCACUUUUUCUGUUUUUUUUCUAGUAGUGUACUCUAUCCAAACGAACUUGAAAUCAACCAAAACAUGAAAAUAUAUAAUUUAUGCGCCAAAAGAAAGUCAACAAUACCCAUAUUACCUAUUUUUAAGUAGGGGUCAAAACAAUUCCCCAAAAUGAGUUUUCGCAAAAGAAGAGCAAAAUCAUAAUUUAUCUUUGAAACAUGUUCUCCAUAAUUUUAGGAGUCUACAUCUGAAAAUACAAGAAAAAAUGAGUUAAAAACGACAUCCAAAUUGAAGAAAAAACAUGUUUAAAUUUUACCGGCAAAAUCCCCAAAAAUCUUUUUUGAAAUCAAGAAUCUGAAGUUGUUUUGAAGAUGAAAUUGAAAGAAAAUUAAUAAUUAUAAGAAUAGAAACUUUCCCUAGUGAAAAUGGGUUGAAAACUGGGUUUGAAUCGAAGAAAUACAAGUUUUAGGCUUUCAAGACUAAAAUCCCCAAUUUUCACUUUAAUCCACGUGAAAACAAGAAUUAAAUGAUAAAAUUAGAGUAAGUAGUUGAAAUAGGUUUUUAGAAGCUUACCCGAGCUUAGAAAUGGAAGAAAUUGCUCAAAAGUGUGAAACCCUAAGCUCAAAGUCUUAAAAAUAGGAAAAAAGUGGUGAAAUAUGGAUAUAUAUAUAGAGGGUCCAAGUCUCUUUAGACCCCUCGAAUUCAUUCGAAAUCCCGUGAACAAAAACAAAAUAUGCUGUCCUAUCAAAUUUGACAUCUCUAACUCAAUAGUGAUAUCAGAUUUUUGAAAAAUAUCAUUUUCAUAAGUUGACCCCUGAAAUCCAUGUUCACAACUUUCUGAACCGAGGGUCAAAUAAGAUAUAAAAGACAUAAAACCAGACCAACCAUGUUACCAUCAUAAAAUCGAUGUUUUGGAUUUGCUGACAAAGUUCAUUUUGUCAUUCGUCGCACAAAUCAACAAAUGUUAACCAAAGUCAACUAUAAGGCUCUCAAAACCACCAAAAACCACAAUAUUAUAUAAAUUAUACCAAAAUACAUCAGGAACCACGCCAAACAUCCCUAUACCCCAAAAAUAUCACAAAGCAAUCACGAAAAGGGGUAAAAUGGUCAAAUCAAACAGAAAUACACUUUUCACAUAAAUCACCAAAAUUUGAGUCGUUACAUUACCCAUCACUAAAAAUCUAGUUCGUCCUCGAACUAAGGCAAAUGUUGACACCCAAUUUUGAUCGCCGAUACUUCUUUUAGGCUGUUAUUUUAGCAAAAUUACUAAAUAUUAGUAUUUCUUACACAUUUUCUUGCAUCAAACAGGUUUUUGACGUGUCAUAUCCAUGAUUUUAAUAUAUGAAUUAUUUUACCACCUUACAGUAUCAUUCUUACAAUUCAUUAAUUUAAAUAUAAUAUUUCUCGAUGUAAUUUUAUCAAUACUUUGUUAAUUCUUUCGUAAAUAUGCACUCACAUUUUUUGAAUGCAUUGUCUAUUAUUAUUAUUAUUUAUUACAUAUUAUCAUUAUUUUUAUUUAUAUAUUAUUAUUAUUAUUAUUAUUUAUUAUUUGUUAUUGUUAUUAUAUACUAUUGUUAUUAUUAUUAUUAUUAUUAUCUACUAUUAUUUAAGUAACAACCUAAAUUGAAAUCACUUAUCUAAUUUAUUUAUUUUUUGAUCCAAUUUUUAUUAUAAUAUAAUAAUUUUAGCCUAAUUUUAUUCAAUUUAUUACAAUUCUAGCCUAUUUGAAACUCAAUUUCAAUUUUUUUUUAAUUUUGUUCAAAUUCUUAAUCUUUAAAUCUUAGCUGUUGAUCAAAUCGAUCCAACGAUUGAGAUCAAAUUCAUGGCCUCCUUCCUUUUAUACACCAAAAGAAAACCCUAAUGCCUAUUGCCGAAAAGAACAUCCGCACCUCCUUUUUCUCUCAUCCCUCUCUCUACCUUCUCUCUCUAAACCAACAAAAACCGUCACUAUCCCUCCCUUGCAGGUGCCGUCGGACAGCAACAGCCACCGCCACAGGCGAACACUGCCGGCCGACCAGUGAUGCUACCACCGCAUCUUACUCAUCUCUCCCCUCGAUCUCUCCUUCGUCCCUUGCCGCCAGCCGUCCACCGGUCAACGUCCAGCAAGCAAACACGGGCUCCCGCUCUGCUCUCCCAUCACCGGCGAAAUCUGCCGAUUAUCGCCUCCUCCAGCCGACCAGCUCCAUCGAACUGCGCAUGCCACCCCUCCCGCUCAAUCCAACAUCUCCAUCGGUGGCCCCUUUCCCUCUCCAGCCGUCGCUCGACCGACGAGACCCCGACAACGACAGCCGACCGGCGCGCCCAAGCCGCCGGCGAAUCUGCCACCGCCGUCUCAUUUUUUUUGGAAAAUGAUGAGUUCUAAAAAUUCCAUAUACCGGUUUGACUAAAUAUUUAAAUAUUUGUGUUUAAUUUUAAUCAUAUUCUACCUUUUCUUUUGACAGAUUUCGGAUUCGAAAUUAACAAAGUCUGCUUUCUUUUUGUCUGAUUCUCUGAUAUUUGUGUUUGUUUAUGUGCUAAAACGAUUAAAUGUAAAAAAGCCCUGAAUUUGAUGAACUACUGUUAGAUUGCGCACAGUUCCGGGUAUGCUCGCAUGCGUUACCGUUACUGAUUGAUUGAGGUUAAUUAUGCAUGUGUGCUGCUUGAUUAAUCGCUUACACCAUUCUAAACAACUUAAUUUCUCCGUGUGUAAAUUGGUGAUGACUUAAUGCUAUAGUCUUCUUUUCUUAUCUGCUGCUGAUGAUUUGAAUACCAUAUUAAGGCUGAUUUUGAUAUUUUUUCUUAAUCUGUUUACUGGUUUUCCUUCCUUAUUCAUCAUUGAUUUGAGCAAAAAAGGGGUAUUUCAAUCCUUUUGAGUGUUUUAUGGGUGAAAAUUCUGGAAAAUUGAUUGUUCUAAGGUCUUUUCCUUUUAUUGCCUGGCUUCUCACGGUUAUGGGAGAUUUUGCUAUAUACUGAUUGACAUGUUCAUUAUUUAUUUAUUUUUGACACAUUUUUAUAUUGAGAUAAUGAUUUGCCUUAAUUAGUCUGCAUGUUCAAAAAGGAAAUUUGGAUUAAUUGAUAUUUUUCUUUAUUUUGACUAAUUAUAUUAGUAAGUGUGAUCUUUAUAUUUGAGGCAGUUUUGUUGAUUGAAUAGACUGAUUUUAAAUUAUUUGAAGGAUAUAAUUGUGAUUGAUUACAUAAAAAUAUUCUCUUUUCCUUCUUAUGGCUUGAUUGGUUUACCCCUUUACUAUAUAAACAACCCCAUUCUCUUAUUUUGAACAAGUUACAACACACAACAUACUCUUAUCUCUGGCAAAAAAGCUUAAAACAAAAGAAAGGCAAUUUUACUUUGUUAUUUUGGCUCUCAUUUCUUGGAGCAUUAAUCUCAAUCUUUCGGUGAUAAUUCUCUUUCUGAUUCCGUGCUUCUUGGUUUUCUUUUUUAUUGUUAUUUGUUAUCUUCAACCAGUAAGUCACUAAUCGAUGCAUUCUUUUCGUAGGAACUAAUUUGAAAUAAUGCUUGCUUAAAUAUGCCUUCGUUUAUAUGCCUUCGUUUUCUUUGUUCCCUUGUUUGAGAUGAUGUGGUGUUCAAGAUGAUGUGCUCUUUUGUUCUUGCAUUGCUCUUUUGAUUCGUAUCUAACAGGUAUCCUUAAGUGGUGUUUUGGGGUUCUGUAGAGUUGCCGGGUAUUUACAUUAGAUUGUAGUAGUUCUAUUUAGUUUAGUUUCUUAUUAUCCUUAAGUGGUGUUUUGGGGUUCUGUAGAGUUGCCGGGUAUUUACAUUAGAUUGUAGUAGUUCUAUUUAGUUUAGUUUCUUAUUAUUUGGUUUGUAAUAUUAUUGUAUAAACAUUACUAUUAUUGUAAUAAUAAUUUUUGGACUGCUCGGGGAGCGGGGACAUACGUGCUUUGUGAAUAGUAUAGGUAGGCACGACUUAGAAUUUUACAUAUAUUACGUGCUAUAUGAAUCACCUAAUAUUCAAAGCGUUUGGACACGAGAGCCAUAACUUAUUAACAUGACAUUACAUGUUUGGCACGUCAACAUGAUCUACAUUAUAAAAUAAUUUAAUUUUUCACAGCAUGUUAACACUAAAUUCCUGCACAUUCCAAUAUGUUAAAACAUUAGGAUUAAGCGAUUUUGGCAUGUUAAAUGCACAAAUUCCUGCACAUUACAAUAUGUUAAAACAUUAGGAUUAAGCGAUUUUGGCAUGUUAAAUGCACGUUAGAUACUAAGUUAAACAUGUGAUCACAUAUAAAUUUUCUGCACAUUAACACAUGUUUCAGCCUGUUCUUAUUAAACUUUAGCAUCUUAAACACUAGAAUUACGCAUUCUUAGCACAUAAAGCGUUAAAUUUGAGCAUGUCGUAUCUUCUACCAUGUCUAACAUUAGAAUAAGCAUGUCAAAUGUAUUUUUCAUCAUGUUAAUAUUCCAACAUGUUAAACAGUUUGUUGAAGCAUUUUUAGCACAUUUACAUUAAAUUCCUGCAUGUCCUUACAUGUUAGCUCACUCUCUAUAUUAAAAAUACAAUUUUAGCAUGACAAUCAAUUUUCAGCAUGUUAGGUUUAAUUUCUAGCGUAUUAGAAUAAAAUUCCAGCAUGGUAAUAUAAAUUUCAUGCACUACUUUCAGCAUAUUAACAUAAGGUUCCUGCACAUUAGCAUAUUUUCAGCAUGAUAGUCAAAUUUCUGCAUUACUAAAACAGUGUUACUGCAUUUUUAGCACAUUAAUAUGAAAUUAUUGUGCACUAGCACACUUGCCAGCAUGUUAAAACGUAGGUUUUUGAGCAUUCUCAACAUGUUAAACACUAGAUUAAGUACAUCAUUGUGUUCCUUAGCAUGUCGAUUCACUUUCAAUGUUUUGUUAUAUUCUCAUUAGUUUAUAACACUUGCACAAUGAAAUUCGUGAGCACAAUUCCUCGACACAUAACCACACUUUUCACACCCUCUUUUAACAACUUGACAACACAUUGUUACAUUCACGAAUCACAGUUACAUUUUGUCAUAUGAACAAUUGUUGUAGAUAUCAUGCCUAUAGAUUAAUGGCACGAAAAAUAGCUAGUCUUUGUCUUUGUAUGUUAAUCACAUUAAUCAACUCUUUAAUAACCAAGGGGCAAACGUGAGACAUUACUUGCUACUUGAAGCCCAAUGUGUUACGCGUUUCGAGUUCUAGGCAACAUAGCUUUAUUUUGUCUAGACCACAAAAUCAAUAUAGCAAAGUCCAAUGCAUGCCUCUUGGAUGAUAGGAGGGACGAUAGGAAUUACUAAAAAUGUUAGUUUUAUCCUUGUAGUAGAAUGCUUUUAGAUUUGACAUCCAGCCUAGGUGGGGUGGGACGGGUAGUCAUUCGAAAGUGAUGAUCUCCAACAGACAUUAGUAAGACAUAUGACUUGUCUAAGAGUUCAGCCAGUGAGUCGGAUGAUGAUUAAACAAGUUGGGGGUUUGAUCCCAAUGAGACCAAAAAUAUUUCUUUGUUUGAUUUGAUGAAUUUUUUUCAUUCUUUUAUUUACCUUACAUGUUUAUUUAUUUAGGGUUGUUAGUUUGUUACGUAAGCAGUCCCCUUUUGUUACAAAUUAUGUCAUUUCUUUCUCCUCGCUAAUCUUAUUAUAUGUUUUUAUCACUUACAUAAUUUACAAUUAGAAAUAAUAAAAUAGUAUGUUUUGUUCAAUAAUUGUUUUAUCACUUAGUUAAACAUUAAAUCAAUAAUAAAACAAGAGACCUUAUUUGAUCACAUAGAAUUCCCACGUAAAAUAAGAAUUCAGUCAGGAACCACCUUUGUGGACCUCGAAAGGUGCCUAAUACCUUCCUUUUGAGGUAAUUUGAACCCUUAUUCAAAUUUUUGGUUAACUAAGACUAAAUAACAAAAUAGGUUCGUAGUUAGCCUAGAUCGGUGACCUAACGCACCUUUAAUUUGUUAGGUGGCGACUCUUCACACACUCCCUUAAAAUAAUUCCAAAAAGAGUGGUCACGUCGAAUCCCGCUUUUCGCGAGAAAAAUGGAGCAUGAUAGAAUGGCGACUCUGCUGUGGAUCUUAAGUUCUAACCAGGACGAAUUUAUGCUUUUUGUGGGAUUCUCUUUAUUUGUUUGAUUAUAUUUGUUUGAUAUCCUGAUUUAUUUUUCAUAUAUUCUUCUGUCAUUAUUUGCUUAUAUCAUGAUUUACUAGUCGUUUCUCUUACUCCGCAUUAAUGUGUUAUGUCUCCAUGUCAAUCUAUCCCCCACUUCCCUUUUAUUGGUCACAUGUUUUGAUAAUCAUUUAUUUUUACAUUGCUAAAACAUACUAUUGUAUGUCUCUAUGUGCUAUAUGUUACUGCUUUAUAUAACUGACAUUCCAUUCAUACUUUCCUCCAACUGGAACCUUGUUUAUUUUCUUUUCACGAAUGGUUGCGUGGUUGCACAGACGUUCUUUCUUAAAACACCUUUUGAGAAAUUCCUUGUGGAUCAGUCGAUCAGUGGUGCGUCGACAGUCACAAGCUUUCCCACUCUCGAGUUGUCCACUUGAGGGAACCAUGUCACAGACCCACUCUUGUCCUUUAGAUCUUGGCUACAUAUUUAUUUUAUUAAGAAAUAUGUGUCCCAUUCAAUGUAGGAUGCCUUGGCACCCCAGAUGCGUUGAAUGUUAGUCUCAUUCAAAGUCCAAAGAGGUUUACAACCUCAAAGGGACUUACAAUUACUUUUUAUGUGUUGCAUUUCUAUGUAUGUAUUGACAUGUGUCUAUCUUGUUAUUUUUGUUCUUGCCUUAGUCACUCUUUACAAUUAGUGUUCCUCACUUUAGAGUUCGUUACUCUUAAAACUCUUGUCAUGUUAGGACUCUACAAUACACUCUUAGGGUCUAUGCAAAACUUCCAUUCAAAUUAUCCUCCUGACAUACCCGUUAGCAUAUUAAUCAUCUCUAGGCUCAACUUUUGCUUUAGUCUCAUCCAUUAUCUUUUAGUAUAACUUAUCAUUUUAGGAUAUUCUUCUCUUAAUACUUCCAACGCUUACAUACAGUGUCCCACAUGAUCCUUUUGAUACUAUCGUACUCAUGUUGUACUCUAGCUUUCACAACCUCUAAGUUACAUAAAGCCCUCAUAACGUCUAUUCACUUCGAAUGAGCAUAAUUCAUUAUUUUUAAAUGAGUAGAAUAUUUAUUCUAGACUCUCACGUGUGCUCUUUGUUCCUAAUUAUAAAUCCUUUCUUCUAACGUUGACUUAAGUUGAACAUUAGAAAUGGCCAGUCAAGCGAUGCCUAUCAAUUUUGCCAACAGCGAAGUUGAGCACGAGUGCAUCAAAAUAGAGCUAUUUUGAGCAUGAGAAGGUUAGGAAGAAGAAUAAAGCUAAUUUGUGGAAUAAUGAUUGAUAUUUGAGGCUCGGUUGAGAUGCCACCAGGAUUUCCAUAGCUGCUACCUAAAGCAGACUUCAACCCUCCCAUCCAUACCAUAGAGUCCCUUAUACUAACAACUUUACCUACGUCUGAUCGUGAUACGCACAUAUUUCCAAGUCAGUUUUCUAUUGCAUUGCUAAAAACACUUAUUAGGUUGACAAAUACGAAUGAGGAUAAAGACAUGGAAGGAUAAAUUUCUAACUAUGAGGUAGGAUCAUCUUAACAGCCAUCCAAAUCAACGAAAUGAGAUAAGGAGAGAAUUGAGGGUUUGAUUUUUCCAUUGUAUGAUGGGUCAGGAAACCCUUAUUCCUAUUUGAAGGAGUACCUUGACAAGCUAUCGGUUAUAAGACAAAGCGAUAGCCUGAAGAAGAGGAGGCUCUUGGUCAAUUCACUUACUGGUCCUGCAUUGAUGUGGUAUGCAGAGAAAGACACUAGCUAGUGGGUUUCUUGGGAUCAUUUAGUAACUGACUUUGUUGGGCAGUUUGACAAUAAGCUAAAAAGGAAGCUCACAGUUGAGGCAAAUUUGGUUAAGCCACAAUCCAAGAACAAGGGAAAGACGAUCACCGACAAGACAUUCAAACCUUCGAAGCCUGAAGUAAGCACACCUCAACCUCAACUGAUAUGGUACCUAGCUCCUAAAAUCAUUCCAACCUCUAAUUAUGUCCAAGCCUAUCAUCCAUAUUCCUUCACAAAACCUAUUCCACAGACUAUUCGGUACCCACUUUCAUUUAUUGCUCCAACAUCAAACGACAUUCCAAUUUUUUACCCAAGUCCACCAAUAAAUCAAUGAUCCACCCAAUUCGCCAAACCUUGACAUAAGCUUCAGAAAAAUCCACCAAGAUAGUACACCCCUUUGGUUGAGCCCAUAACUCAACUUUAUAAGAGAUUGAGGAUGGAUGGCUAUAUCACUCCUAUUCCCGCAAUCGUCAUGAACACAUAUGCACCAUGGCUUGAUCGUUCUAAAACUUGCGCGUAUCAUUUAGGGAAGAAAGGACACACCACAGUAGAGUGUCGAACUUCGAAAGACAAAAUUCAAGCACUGAUUAACGACAAAGUCGAAUCGUGAUGAUGAUUGAUUUACUUGGCAUGACUUGCAAGGGUUCUACAUUGGUGUAGAGGAUAUCAUGUUGAUUCUCCACUCCAGACUUUCAACAUUUGAAAUUCCUUCAAGUUUUACAUUCUGCAAUUUUUUUUUUUUUUAUGUUUUCCUUGCUUAUGUAAUUUGAACUACGAUCGACCUGAUUCUUUUUUGGAUACGUAGGCGCUCAUUUAAUGAGUUCAGUCUCACCAUAAUAAAACUUUCUAUUCCCCUACUUUAUUAUUUUUCUCUAUGGAGUUGGAUGAAUCAACAAUAUGAUGUGAAUCAACAAAUCUGAUGUUCAACAAAAGUCGACCUUGCUCAUUUCCUAUCUUUCUUAUCUUCUUUACAAUCACAAUUCGACAUUAUGUUCUAUUACUAUCAUAUUUCUUGCAUUAGGAGCUCAAAUAUUUACGCCUAGAACGCUUAUUAAGGCAUAGUCUUCCUCCCAGAAUGACUUGUUUUGUAUAUGUUGAACUUAUGCAUUACAUCAUUUUGUUGACUUGCUUAUUUUAUUUUAAGGUUGUCUAGCAUUUGAACAUCGAACUCAAGUGGCAAUCUGCAAAAUGACAAUUAUGCUCAAUAUCUAAAAAGCUUUCAGUCCUUCUUCUCAUCGCCCAAGGCAAAACACUAUGACUUCUUAUCCUCUCCUUACCCACACCCCUUCUCAGCAAAUUUCCUUUGCACGUGACACUUCUGAAAGUGAAAGGAUCAAUGUAGAUGAAUGUUGGCAAAGGCUUUGUAACUUAGAAAGAAGGAUGAAGAAGGAACUGCAUUCUAGGGGUAUCUAUGACUUGAGGUAUGAGAAAUUAUGUAUACAUCCGUGGAUUGAUUUACCUCCAGGAUACAGAGUUUCCAAGUUCAAUACAAUCGAUGGGCAUGGGGAUCCAAUCAGACAUUUGAAGGACUAUUAUGGCAGACUAAUUGACAUAAGGCACAAUGAGCCUCUCCUUAUAAGAUUAUUUAUUCAAAGUUUAUCAGGAAUGGCACUCACAUGGUUCGCCCAACAAGACUUCGACAAAUGGCAUAAUUGGGAAGAAUUGGCUCAAUAUUUUUUGAGGCAAUACAAGUUUAACAUCAAUACUAGCCCAAAAAUUUGAGAAUUACUUGAGAUAAAGAGAACGACCCAUGAAUCUUUUGAAGAAUAUGCCAUUCGAUGGAGGCUAGAGGUACGUCCUUCUGUACCUGAGGAGGAAUUGGUCCAAGUUUUCCUUAGGACACUAGAUGGAAUAUACUUUCAAAAAAUUUUCUUCUGGUAAAUCACAACUUUGAGAGUUUGAUUUCGAUUGGAAAGAAAUUAGAAUAUGAAACACAGAAUCCACCCAAGGAAGAGAAAGAGGAUUCAUCACCUUUCAUACCUUAAAUACAAGGUAUCGACAUAAUGAGACCCACACUGAUUUUGGUCCUCAAAACUAGGCUUGUCAGAUCCACUUCUACUCUGUCCAACAAGAUCCCAGACGUUCACAAAAGAAACAUAAAGCGUAUCACAUGAAUUGAUGUUCAUGUUUUACGUCACUAUUUCACUCGCCUUACGGCUAGUAACAUUUUAUUGUUCUCUCUACAUUUCUUUGUACUCAUGAACUACGUUUGACCUGACUUCCAUUUGGAUAUGUCGGCAGCCCACUCUAGGUCCGGGAGUCUUUAUCUAAUAAAACACUUCUUUCCCCCUCUCUUUCACAUUCCUACACUUCCAAAUCGUCAAGCUAAUUAACCUAACUCUUGAGCUUAUAAAGUCAUAUUACAAUUGAGGUUAUGAUAUUCAAAUAUAGAACAACCAUUUCUCUUAGACUAAUGUUUUCUUUGAGUGGUACAAGAAUAUAAGGCUCCAAAGACAAAAACUGGGGCAAAAUUUUUGAGGUUUCAAGAAAACCUCAAAAAUUUCACGAUUAAACAAUAUAUCAAUUCACAAUAACGUGCAAAAGGCGCUUAUCAUUCUAAACUGGGCAGAAAUUUUUUAAAAUUCCUCAAAAAAUUUCACGAGUAAAUAAGCAAUUCACAAUGACGCACGAAAGACCCUUUACAAACUGAGGUAGAAAUCUUUUAGAAUUCCUAAAAUAUUUCAUCACGAUGGAGUACAAAUCCUAAUGAUUCAUGCAGUAGAAAACAAUGACCAAGGAGUUGACUCGAGCAUGGUGCAAAUUCACAUUUCUUUUUUACUAACAAUUUUUCUUUAAGUACAGGAUUAAUAGGUACAGAUGACAACAAUCAUCAUGAGAGGCCUAAAUGGCUAAUCCAACAUCAUGGUGAGAGACUUCACAAUUGAUUCGACAAUACAACAGAUACACUUUCUCAUCUUCAUUAUCUUUAUUGUUAUGGUUGUUUGCUACAAUGUUCUAUCUUCUAUACACACACAUAUAUCUGUGCUAACCAUCUUUACAGAGACGAGCUAAAAAUGGCAGGACCAAUAGGUACAGAUCACGAUCCCACGAUGAAAAGCCCAAAAGAUGAUCCCACGAUGAGAAGUCAAACAUCUGAUCACAUGAUUCCAUAAUGCAUCAAGAAGCCCAAAAGCUGAUCCUACGAUGAGAAGCCAAACAACUGAUCACACGAUUCCACAAUGUAUUGAGAAGCCCAAAAGCUGAUCCCAUUAUAAGAAGCCAAACAGUUGAUCGCAUGAUUCCACAAUACAUCGAGAAGCCCAGAAGAUGAUUGCACGAUUCCACAAUACAUCGAGAAGCCCAGAAGCUGAUCGCACAAUUCCACAAUACAUCGAGAAGCCUAGAAGCUGAUCGCAUGAUUCUACAAUACAUCGAGAAACCCAGAAGAUGAUAGCACGAUUCCAUAAAUGCAUCGAGAAGACCAGAGAUAUGUAGGCAAAUUAAAAUCAAAGUAUCGGCCACACUAUUUUUACAACCACCUCCUGCUGUUUUAAUUCCAACAAACUCUCCUCGAUCGGACAAAAUUGGCUACUACGUCAACUUUCGUUGCUUGAUAAUUCUUUUAUUAUUCUCAAGUAAUGAAGUGGAAGCUGUUGACACCCAAUUUGACCGCACGAUACUCCUUUUAGGCUGUUAUUUUAGAAAAAUUGCUAAUUUUAAGUGUUAGUAUUUUUUACACAUUUUUCUGUAGUAUUGACAUGUCACAUCCAUUAUUUUAAUAUAUGAAUUAUUAUACCACCUUAUAGUAUCAUUCGUACAAUUCAUUAAUUUAAAUAUAAUAUUUCUCGACGUAAUUUUAUCAAUACUUUGUUAAUUCUUUCGUAAAUAUGCACACUCAUAUUUUUCGAAUGCAUUAUUAUUAUCUAUUAUUAUUAUUUGUUACAUAUUUCAUUAUUUUUAUUUAUUUAUUUAAUAUUAUUUAUUAUUUAUUAUUGUUAUUAUAUACUAUUAUUAUUAUUAUUAUUUAAGUAACAACGUAAAUUGAAAUCACUUAUCUAAUUUAUUUAUUUUCUAACCCAAUUUUUACCACAAUAUAACAAUUUUGGCCUAGUUUUAUUCAAUUUAUUACAAUUCUAGCCUAAUUGAUACUCAAUUUCAAUUUUCUUUUAAUUUUGACCAAAUUCUUAAUCUUUAAAUCUCAAUCGUUGAUUAAAUCGAUCCAACGGCUGAGAUCAAAUUCAUGACCUCUAUACACCAAAAGGAAACCCUAAUGCCUUAUUCCAAAAAGAAUAGCCGCAGCUCCUUUUUCUCUCUUCCCUCUCUCUAAACCAACAAAAACUAUCACCAUCUCUCUGUCACCGGCACUGUCAGACAGCAACAGUCACCAGCACAGGUGAAGACCGCCGGUCGGCCAGUGAUGCUGCCACCGCAUCUUCCUUCUCUCUCCCCUCGAUCUCUCCUCCAUCGUUUGCCGUCAGCCGUCCACUUGUCAACAUCCAGCAAGCCAACAAGAGCUCCCGCUCCGCUCUCCCAUCUCCGGUGAUAACCGUCGAUCAUCGCCUUCUCCAGCCGACCAACGCCAUCAACCUACGCAUGCCACUCCUCCCACUUCAUCCAACGUCUCCACUGGAGACCCUUUUCCCUCUCCAGCUGCCAUCGACCGAUGAGACCCCAACAACGAUAGUUGACCAACGCGCAUAAGCCGCCGGCAAAUCUGGCACCGUUGUCUCAUUUUUUUUGGAAAAUGAUGAGUUCUCAAAAUUCCAUAUAUCGGUUUAUUGACUAAAUAUUUAAAUAUUUGUGUUUAAUUUUAAUCAUAUUCUACCUUUUCUUUUUCUUUUUCUGUUGACAGAUUUUAGAUUCAAAAUUAACAAAGUGUGACUGCUUUCUUUUUGUCUGAUUCUCCGAUAUUUGUGUUUGUUUAUGUGCUAAAACAAUUACAUGUAAAAAACCCUGAAUUUCAUGAACUACUGUUAGAUUGGGCCCAGUUUUGGGUAUGCUCGUAUGCAUACUCGUUACUGAUUGAUUGAGGUUAAUUAUGCAUAUGUGAUGCUUGAUUAAUCUCUUACACCGUUCUAAACAACUUAAUUUCUCUGUGUGUAAAUUGGUGAUGACUUAAUGUUAUAGUCUUCUUUUUUAUCUGCUGCUCAUGAUUUGAAUACCACAUAUAUAAGGCUGAUUUUGAUAUUUUUUCUUAAUCUGUUUACUAGUUUUCCUUCCUUAUUCAUUGAUUUGAGCAAAAAGGGGUAUUUCAAGAGUAUUUUAUGGGAGAAAAUUCUGGAUAAUUGAUUGUUCUAAGGGUCUUUUCCUUUUAUUGCCUGGCUUCUCACGGUUAUGGGAGAUUUUGCUAUAUACUAAUUGACAUGUUCAUUAUUUAUUUAUUUAUUUAUUUAUUUUUGACCCAUUUUUAUAUUGAGAUAAUGAUUUGCCUUAAUUAGUCUGCAUGUUCAAAAAGGAAAUUUGGAUUAAUUGAUAUUUUUCUUUAUUUUUACUAAUCAGAUUAGUAAGUGUGAUCUUUAUAUUUGAGGCAGUUUUGUUGAUUGAUUACAUCACAUACUAUAUUGAUUGACACUUCUUUCCCUUUUAUUAGUUUAGACUGAUUUUAAAUUAUUUGAAGGAUAUAAUUAUGAGUGAUUGAUUACAUAACAUAUUCUCUUUCCNNNNNNNNNNNNNNNUAUUUAUCCCUUUACUAUAUAAACAACCCCCAUUCUCUUAUUUUAAUUUAAACAAGUUACAACGCACAACAUACACUCUCUCUGAUAAAAAAGCUUAAAACAAAAGAAGAGGUAGUUUUACUUUGUUAUUUGGCACUCAUUUCUUGGAUUAUUAAUCUCAAUAUUUUGGUGACAAUUCUCUUCCGCAUUCCGUGCUUCUUGUUUUUUUUUUAUUAUUAUUAUUUGUUAUCGUUAACCGGUAAGUCACUAAUCGAUGCAUUCUUUUUGUAGAAAAUAAUUUGAAAUAAUGCUUGCUUAAAUAUGCCUUUGUUUUCUUUGUUACCUUGUUUGAGAUGAUGUGUUGUUCAAGAUUAUGUGCUCUUUUGUGUGAUAGCCUUGCUCUUUUGAUUCGUCUCUAACAGGUAUCCUUAAGUGGUGUUUGGGGUUUCGAAGAGUCGCCGGGGUGUUUACAUUAGAUUGUAGUAGUUCUAUUUGGUUUUAGUUUCUUAUUAUUUGGUUUGUAAUAUUAUUGUAUAAACAUUACUAAUAUUGUGAUAAUAAUUUUGGGGACUGCUCAGGACGAGGACUUACGUGCUCUGUGAAUAGUAUGCACAACUUAGGAUUUUACGUGUAUUACAUGCUAUAUGAAUCACCUAAUUAGGAUUUUAUGUGUAUUACGUGCUAUAUGAAUCACCUAAUAUUUGAAGUGUUUGAAUACUUAAGCCAUAACUUAUUAACAUGACAUUACAUGUUUGGCACGUCAACACGAUCUAGGCAUAACAAAAUAAUUUAAUUUUUCACCGCAUGUUAACACUAAAUUCCUACACAUUCCUGCAUGGUAAUAUGUUAAACAUUAGGAUUAAGCAAUUUUGGCACAUUAAAUGCACGUUAAACAUUAGGAUUAAGCGAUUUUGGCACAUUAAAUGCACGUUAGAUACUAGGUUAAACAUGUGAUCACAUAUUUUAGCAUGUUACACAAAUAUUGUUAAAACAUGUUUAUAUUUUCUGCACAUUAACAUAUGUAAAGCAUGUUGUUAUUAAACUUUAGCAUCUUAAACAUUAGAAUUAAGUAUUCUUAGCACAUAAAGCGUUAAAUUUGAGCAUGUUGUAUC
rnacentral:lncRNA from 1 species